rnacentral:lncRNA from 1 species
CAUUUUUAUCUCUCAUAAAUAUGUCCUAAUUUUUAGUUAAAGAAUCCUCAUUCAAUUUCUAUUUCUAUUUCUAUUUUUUUACCUAUAUUUAAUUAAGUUAAUAACUUAAUAUUUCCUUAAUUGCUUUUUACAGGUUGUCAACGGAGUUCUGGUACUCCCAACAAGUGAGAAGAACGAUCAGAUUAGUAACAGAGCACAAACAAAGGUACAAAAUAAAUUACCAUAUCACAGUCUCAGGUAUAUAACUCCAUACAAUAGCACAUUCAUGGGUACAUAACUAGACAAAAAUUAAUCAAAAAUUGAUACUUCAAUACACGAGGUAUAAAAUGCAGUACCAUAUCACAAACCCCUUUUUUUUUUUUUUUUUUUUUUUUUUUUUUUUUUUUUUUUUUUUUUUUUUUUUUUUUUUUUUUUUUUUUUUUUUUUUUUUUUUUUUUUUUUUUUUUUUUUUUUUUUUUUUUUUUUUUUUUUUUUUUUUUUUUUUUUUUUUUUUUUUUUUUUUUUUUUUUUUUUUUUUUUUUUUUUUUUUUUAUUUUUUUUCUUUUUUUUUUAUUGUCUGUUUUUUUCUUUUAUCCUGUUUUUCUUCCUUUUCAAGAUCUUGAAAAGAGAGAGAAAAUGAGAGAGAGAGAAUGAGAAAGAGAAAACGAGGGAAAGAGAAUGAGAGCAAGAGAGAGAGAGAGGAGGAGAAAUUUUUGGAGUUUUUUUAUUUUUAGUGGCUUUGAUAUUGAAAAUACUAUAUAAAGAAUUUUAGAUGAAAUCAGUCAGUUGAUACAAUUAUUGUUGUUAUGUGCUAUUAUCGUAUGAUAAGCGGGUGGGGCUUUUCUUGUUUUCGUAAACAUCAAGAUUUUAUUGGUUGGGUCUAUGAUUCCAGCCUACAUGAUACUCAAAAGGGCCCUGGUUCAUCUGGAAAUGAAAAGUGCUUUAUGAACGUUUGGAUUGGUGCUUCCUUGACUCGGUUUGGUAACUUCAAUUUCUACCCACCUAUAUCGUGUUAAGUCGGAUCACCGACCUAUUUUCAUGGUUGCGACCAAGCUCAAGAAGUCAAAUCUUCCUCAUACCUUUCGCUUUAUGGCUUCAUGGUUGUCACAUGUUGAGUUUAAGCCUUUUUUUGUCGGAAUGGAAUCGGUCUUUUACCUUUAUUCAUCAGAUGUCCAUUCGAGCUACCAAACUGAAAAAAUGAAAUAAGGAAAUUUUUGGCAACAUCCAAACGAAUAGAAGGAGCUUAUCUUUAAACUUGCUGAUGUUUAAGCUCUCGCAGCUCCUCUACUCAUUCAAGACACCACAAUGGACAUUGCAAGUGACCGGAAUACUCAUUUUUUUCACGUAUCCACCUUCCGUAGGCGUGCUCGGAACCACAUUAUUAAGUGAAGGAUGACUGUGGGGUGUGUAUUCAUUAGGUUUGGGAGUCGGUUAAUUUGGUUAAUAACCAUCGGUUAAUGGUCGGGAAGCGCUUUGAUGAUUGAAAUUAAUUAACCAAAUUAACCGACCGAGCAAAAGCCACGGUUAAUCUUACCGACCGAUAACCGACCAAUCAGUUAAAUGAUCGAUUAUUAACAGACUGACUCUCGGUUAACCGUUGUAACCGGCUCUGACCAAUUUAACUCUCUUCUCAUAUUGCAACAAGAUUCUAGGCUCUGGCUCUAGAUCCGUCGUCGAUUCAAGCCUUGGAGACCAUAGCUUCUCUUCUGGAAACAAUCCGGUGCUCUACAACUUGAUCCUUCGGGACUGGAAGCUUUCCGAGACGGCGUUGUUGCGGAUCAGUAAGGAGAGGAGGAAGCUUCAAGCCUAUGGUGUUGCAGAUCGAAGAAUUGAGAGAGUGGAGGAGGAGAGGAUUGGCCGUGGCGACGAAGGAAGCAUGUGGUGUUGCAGAUCGAAGAAUCGAGAGAGUGGAGGAGGAGAGGAGCGCUUGCGGUGACUCGUCGUGGUCGUCGUCGUGACUGCCGGCGAGAUGCUGAAAUUGAAUCGCUUGGAUUGAUAGAGUUGUCGAGAUGGAUUGAUGGAGUUGUCGAGAUGGAUUGAUGGAGAUGGCUCGGAGUUAACCUAAUUUCAGAAUGAGAGGUUGUGAUGGAGUGGGAGGCUGGGAGGGGAGGGAGCGAUUCUGCGAUUGUGGUGAGCAAAGCUUGAUUUCCUAAUUGGGGACCUUGGUUUUUUUAAUUACCGGUUAACGUUGGUUAACUCGAGUUAACCAACGAUUUUACCCUGCUCCAACAAGUACUCCCAACUGUUCCCCGACCGACCCCUACCUCGGUUAAACCGACACUCUAACCGAGUCGAUCAGUUCAUCUGUUUAACCUAUUAACCGAGACUGAUGGCCCACCCUUAGUAUUCAUCCAGCUUGUUGCUGCAAUUAGUGUCGUAUUGAUAUGGUUGAGAGAGGAUAAAAUAUGCUUGAUUUCAAGUUCUCCAACUUGAAAGGUUUAGCUGUUAAAAAUGUAGAGGUCAUGACUGAGUACUGAUUUCCAGCAAGGAGAAGUUGGAUAUUUGCUUGCGAUAAAAAAGAAUUUGGACAGUCUAUCUUAGGCACAAAAUCUAACGGAUGAGAUGGCAACUUUACUUCAGGGGCCUAUUGGUCAUUUUAAAAUUUUCUUGUUUUUCAGUUUAUUUUUCCAUUCUGUUUAAUAUUGGUUCAAGUAAAAUGAUUUCUUGUAAAUUGGGUCUAUUGAGUAACGUGGGUGGGUAGACUUUAUUGCUCCCAUCGAGCUUGACGUGAUAUUUUCUUCUUCGUUUCUUUAACAUGCAUAAAUUGUAUAUAAUACGAAAGGUUGGAAAUAUAUGUGAAGCUCGAGGUUUAUUAUAUAUGUUUCGAGGUUUAUUAUAUAUGUUGAACCUUUUUGCCAAUUGGUUAUUUUUAUCAUGUAGUGCCUUAUCAAGUAAAGGGAAUGGUUGUUUUUAUCUACUGUCACUAGCCAACUUUCUUUCUCAUGUGAUCAAUUAUUUGAUCACGCAUGAAUGACUACAGUACACAAAAGAUAGAAAUAUUAUAAAAACAAAAAACAAAUAUUAAAAAAAAAUACCUAAAAAGCAGGUACAUAACAACAAAAACAAUAACCGUAAAUAUCAAGUACAUGAAAGCGGAUGCUCAAAAUAAGCACGCACACAUUAAAAACUUUGGUACAUACAAGGCAAGAAAAUCGAGAACAUAUUGGAACUCGAGUACCGGAAUUGGUACGGUAUUAAGUACAACGUGAAGAAAUAUCAAGUACAUUAAAAAGCGAGUAUAUAACAAUAGAAAUAAGUACACGAAAACAACUCAGAGAAAUGAUAAUUUGAUUGCCAAAAUUGAGUAUGAUAAAGUAAAAUGCAAGCACGUAGUACAUGAAACAAAUAUGAGUAAGAGUACAUAAAUUUUUUAGUACAAUACAAGACAAAAACUCAAAUACAUAUAAAAACUGGACACUAAAAAAAAUAAUUAAUUAUUCACAAUUUUAAAUAAUAAUAGUCACGAUUUUUAUCAUGAUUAACAGAAGCUAGUCACGAAAAUAAAUCCGUAACUAACCUAACCGAUGCUAGAUGAACUUGUCACGAAUCUGAAUAACCUGUAACUAAGUUGUCACCGAAAUUUUCCGUGACCAACUCAUCACGGAAGAAACCGUGAACAUAUGUGUUUUUGUUUUUGUUUUUUAAAUUAGUGGCACGGAGCCAUAUGCUGUGAUAAUUGAUUUAUUAAUAAAUUAAUCCCACAUCUCCGUGGCUACUAUAUCACCAGAAUUUCCAGAUUCCGGCAACCACAAUUUCCAGAAUCCGGCAAUAAGAUAGAGUUGAUAAUUGCUUUUUUAUUAGAGUAAAAUGUUCUACAUCUAUACAUUAUGAUACCCAUAUCAAAAUUCCAGAAUCCCAAAAUUGAACAUAACGUCAACGAAAGGCACCAUGCAACAAUGGUGACACUAAGGGUUACAACAACCAGCAAAACCGAAACACAGACUGGAAAUGCUACCAAGAGAAGGAUGAGACUAGAUGAUGAGAUUGAGAUUGAGAGAAGAAAAAUGAUAGUAAGAAAUUUUGUUUUCGAGAGAGAUCAAAUGAAGAUGAGAUCUACUUCUAAUUUAAUAUAAUGGAAAUGGAGAUAUGGUUGUUUAAUGGCAAAGAGAGAAGAAAGGAAUAGCCCAUUAAACGAGGAUAGAGUCUGCAUCAUUUCUUUUUUCGACCUUUUCCCACUAAAAUGCUAAUUUUAAAAUUAUAAAUAAAAGUUGGUCACGGUUCCAACAUUUACCGUGAGUAGUUGGUCGCGGUAUUCAACAAUCCAUGACUAGUUAUGGAUUUUUUUUUAUCUAUAAGUAGUUAGUCAUGGUUUUUAAAGCCGUGAUUAAUAAAUCGUGAUUAAUCGUUGAUUUUUUUUGUAGUGCGAGUAUGAGUAUUGAGUAAAACGUCAUGUACAAAAACAAGUACAUCAAAAGCGAGUACAUAAUUAUCAAAACAAGUACUAAAACGAGAGGAAAAGUACAUAAAAAGCGAGUAUAUAAUAAUAGAAACAAGUGCAGUAAAAAUCAAGUGCAUGAAAGGAAAACGAAACUCAAACUAAACACUAAUACAAAAAAAACUUUAGUACGCAAAUAAGUAAAUACAAGAAAAUUAACAUACACAAACGAAUACAUAAGAGUAUAGUGUUUAAACAAAGCGAUUAUACGGAUCAAUACGAUGUUGAGUACAAAACAACAACUUGAGGCUUUAUCCCUCAUUUUUAGAUGAUUUUGUACUAAGUUCUUAUAUGUAUUAGUUUUUAUUAAUGUAAUCCCUCGUGUACUUUGUCUUUGGAUUUAUUUUUAUGCCAUAUCUAUUUAUUUACGCAUUUGUGUAUACUUAUAUUUUUAGAACUUUAUACUCAAAUCAAUUAAUCAAACAAUAAAACUAUUUUCUCUUUACACGAACCAACAUAAUAACCCAUCACCCCAUACAGGGUUGUGAAGGAGGUGCAGUGACCAGAAUUUUCUAGUUGUUGCUUUUCUAUAGUUUGAUAAGGGUAAGCAUCUUGUUCUAGAAUAUAUGUUGUUAGGUUAUAACAAUGCAUCUAGUUGAGCAUGAUUCUUUGGUCAAGUGUUACUGGGAUUCUUUUUGUUCCACAUCAAUGCUCGGAGGUCGAAGAGGCAACGAGGGUGACGAAGAAAUCGGCAUCACCACGUGAGAGAAGAUGAAGAAGAGGUCAGAGAGUGGAGCCGGUGGAAAAGAUAUACUAGAAGAGGUACUUAAAGUUACUUGUACGACAAAACUGCCCUUAUUCAAUUGGACAACCCCUAGAUUAAAAUUUAAAAAUGAACGGACGCGAUUCGUUUGCGGCCAGCAAACACAUAAUAUCAUGGCUGCCUAUCCGGACUCGUCAUAACUGGCGUCAACAUUACGUAGUGUUGUCAAAAAUUAAAAAGGGGAAUAUAUAAUAAUAAUAAUAACAGACGUAAUCUUGUGUAUAUAAUGAUAUUAAAACGUUUUUCAAUCGACAAAGCCAAGUCUGCGGGAGGAACAGCUAAUGGACGAACAGCCUAAGCAUAAGCCGCCUUCUUCGUAUUCUUCAGAUUCUCUGAAUCUCUACCCUUUUUUUUUGUUACGCGGAUUCCCUUCCCUCGUCUGCAAACAAAAAGCUCUUCGUUGACUUUUUAGCAGGCUUUUUUAAAAAACCUUAAUUGAAAAAAUUUGUACAUGGUUGUUGCCUUUGUUGGCGUCAGCAUGACCCAAUGCUGUUGUCAUGUUCAUGAUUGCUCCAACUCACCUGGCUGCGCAUCUGCCUUCUGACCUGACCUGCCCUCCUCCUUUUUUUUAAAUUAUGUUUCCCCAAAAUUAAAUUUAAAUCGUUACAAAAUUGGUCUCUCCUUCUCCUAUAUAUAACGUGGAAGAGCUCCUGCCAAAAAAGUCAUUCAAACUCAAAGCAGAUAAAUUAUCAAAAUAAAAAAGAAAACCCCAGUGCUCUGCCUGCCGUUAAGAAAUUAGUUUAUUGGGUUUGUUGUGUUUAUGAAAGCUGUGUUCCAGAGACUGAUAUCGUCAAGCACCCAGAUUGGCUGUAGGAAGAAAGUUGCAUCUUUUCCAUUAAUCAGAAGCGCUAAUAUGUCUGAAUCCUCUGCCUUUGAUUCUCCGAGAUUGGUGACCAAGAAGGUCCUUGCUAAGCUUCAGCGUGAAGGGGAUGGUGCUUCUGUCAGGAGAAGCAUUGGAAGGUAUAAUAUAAUAUAUCAUGGAUGGAUGGAUGGAUAUACAAUUUUCUUCUUGUCAAAAUUGAAUUAACUGUUUUCGUUUCUGUGGUGAAAUUGAAUGAUUGAAUGUUGAAUUAUUUUGGUUCAGGAGUGAGCUCAGGUCUCUGGACCCUUUCCUCAUGUUGGAUGAGUUUUCAGGUCUGCUUUGCUUAAUUACUUGAAACCAAAUUCCUUGAUAUUUUCUAGAAUUAGGAUGAUGAUGGAUGAUGGAUGGUAUUUAAUUUGUUGUUGCAAAUUGCAAUGCAUGAAGUCUCAGCUCCUGCUGGAUUUCCUGAUCAUCCACACAGAGGUUUUGAGACUGUUACAUACAUGCUGGAGGUACAGACAGUACUGGAGUUAAUUAUUUAUUAUGAAUUGAAGGCUGUUUUUUGUCCUUGGUAGUCUAUUUAUUGAUGUCUGUGAAAUUCGUGGGUGGCACUGGCAGGGAUCAUUCACUCAUCAAGAUUUUUCUGGGCAUAGAGGGACUAUUCAUGCCGGGGAUGUUCAAGUAAAAUAAUUCACUCAAUUACAAUACUACGACGUUUACUUAAUUAGCUAGCUUUACUUGAUCAAAGUCAAAAACUCUUUCUUUUUUUAAAGUAAACAACAACAACAACUUGUGUGUUUUCCUGUUGGGCAGUGGAUGACAGCAGGUAGAGGGAUAGUCCAUUCAGAAAUGCCUGCAGGAGAAGGAGUCCAGAGAGGCCUUCAGCUUUGGAUAAACCUCUCUUCUCAACAUAAAAUGUAUGUUUUUAUUUCCUUUUUUGUUUGUACUUUCCAACUUCACCAUUCCAACAGUUUGUAAUAUGGAACCAACAGGAUUGAGCCAAGGUAUCAGGAACUUCUGAGGCAGGACAUCAAAAGAGCAGAGAAAGACGGGGUUGAAGUCCGAAUCAUAGCAGGGGAAUCAAUGGAAAUCGAGUCUCCAGUUUAUACAAGGACCCCAACAAUGUACCUUGAUUUCACACUGCAACCAAGGUCCCAAAUGCACCAGCCCAUUCCAGAAUUAUGGAACGCAUUCAUUUACGUCAUUGAAGGUGAGGGAGUGUUUGGGAUCCCAAACUCCUCACCAGUUGAAGCACAUCAUACACUCGUUCUAGGCCCUGGUGAAGGAAUGAGCGCCUGGAACAACUCCUCUUCCAAACCCUUGAGGUUUGUCUUGAUUGCAGGCCAGCCACUUAACCAACCAGUGGUGCAGCAUGGUCCUUUUGUCAUGAACACAGAAUCUGAAAUCCACCAAGCAAUUGAAGAUUACCACUACUCCAAAAAUGGGUUUGAAAUGGCGCAGUAUUGGAGUUCCCAAUAGGGAACAAGUAAGUGCUUGGAUCACUCAAAACCAAAUCUCCACAUUCCCUCUCAACUUUGAAGAAGAAAAGAGUAAAGAAUAAAAAUACACAUCCACAAACACUAAAGGCCACACGCAUAUGUGAGUGAUACUCAUUUGUGUUCCAUCAUGUAUUAAUUUAGCUUUUAUCCUCUUCCAACCUUUUACUAUUCCAAAUCAAAAGGUUGAUUAUUGCAUUGUCACACAAAACAAUGAUAAUAAAAAUACUCAAUUCAUAUAAUCCUUAGAAUUAAUUCUUUUCAUAACUAUAGUAGAUGUUUGAACAAGUGAGAACAAAAUAUAAGCUUAAUCUUAAUAGUAAUAUCAACGGAUAAUAGCACUGUGUGUCACUUAAUUAUUACCCAUGUCGCACAUAAACUACUUAACUUUCUACAUUGCACAUAAAGCCACUUAACUUUGCUUAUGCUUGCAACAUCCAAAUUUUCAUUCAAUUUAUGGAUAGACUGAUCGAAUUGAUGAGUUCUUAUUCGAGAUCUUCUGUAUGAAUAACCUCCAACACAUUAAAGAGAACAAUAAUUUAUAAGAACUGACAGAAUAACUUAUUACUUGUUUACAGAAAAGAAUGAUAAAAUAAAAAGGCAAGAAUAGAUUAUAAUCAUGCCUUGGACACUGCUUUCGAAAAAAUAUUUCCCGAAUUUAGAACACCAAUACAACUAAAGGUUAAUCACAAUAUUCACUCAAACUCUAGUGUAGGGCUUGAAUGUUGGAACUUGGAAACUUAUGCUAUUUUGAUUCCGAUUUUGAGAGUGAAAACAAAGUUUUCUGCCCAUAUUAAUCAACUAGGAUUUCCCUUUUUAAAGAGAACGCAUCCACUAACCAACAUCAAAUCCAGAUUCUCCUUUCUGAUGAUCAUCAAUGAUAAGCAGAUAUGGGGAAGGUGGAGUUGAGCUCCCGAUUUCUAGGAAGCCAACCAAAUACUUCUGUUAAGCAUAAGUCUUGAGUAUAUGCGGUAUGUAACUGAUCAUUACUGUUACUUCAAGUGGUUAGAUAAUGGUUACAUCAUCUUGCUGUUGUCCGUUGAUGACAUGUUGAUAGCAAGUUCUAUUGUAAAAGAAGUAAACAAGUUGAAGAAACAGUUAUCUAACAGUUUACUAUUAAGAAUAUAGGAGACGCUAAACAGAUUUUGAGUAUGUGCAUUGAUCAUGAUAGGCAAGUAGGAAAGUUUUAUCUUUCGCAAGUUGAAUAUAUCAAGAAAGUCUUGAAGAGGUUCAAAAUGCAGGAUGCAAAACUAGUAAAGAUUCCUUUGGGUGGCUAUUUCAAGCUAUUUGAGAAGGAUAUGCCUAAUAAUGAUCCAGAACGUGCCCAAAUGCACGAAACACCAUACAUUUUUGUAAUUGAUAGCUUGAUGUAUGGAAUGGUGUGCACAAUACCAGAAAUUGCACAUGUAGUGGGAGUUGUCAAUAGAUUCAUGGGAAAUCGGGGGGAAGCGAUUAAGUACUCCUGAGAUAGUUGAAGAUUACUACUAAAAGGGUCUUGGGCUUUGAGGGCAAAGUAAUGUAGUUAGAAGGAUUUGUCAUCAAGUGACCUUGAUAGAAGAAGAUGUACAACAUGGUAUAUUUUUACUCUUUGAGGUACCAUGGUUUCUUGGGCUUUUAAGUUGCACUGUCUAACACUCAAGCUAAAUAUGUUGCGGUAACGAAGGCCAGCAAAGAGAUGGUAUGGUUUUAGAAUUUCUUUGGUGAAUUGGGGAAGAAGAAAGAGGAUAGCAUAUUGUACAUUAGUCUUAUACACUUGCAAAAAAUUCAGCAUUUCAUUCAAAAUCGAAGCUCAUAUUGAGUUGAUGUAUCACUUUAUGGGUUGAUCUCUUGGAAAGGAAGAUCUUACGGCUUAUGAAGAUUCUAGGAAGUGAGAAUCCUAUGGAUAUGCCGACUAAGGUUGUAAAGUUGGAGAAGUUGACACUGUGUAUGACUUUAACUGGUUUUGUAACUGAAGUUGAAGGUCAGAUGCUGCUUGUAGUAGGAAGACGUUGAACAUGGAGAACCAAUGAGAGGAGUAUGUCUUCAGGUGGGAGAUUGUUGGGUUAUGGUGCCUAAGAAACUGAAGGCUUGGUCCAGUUAGUUUGUUUAGUUAGAUAAAAAUUAAGAUUAAUCUUGUCUAUUCUAUAUAGGAUUAGAAUUAAUAUGGUAGCUCCCUAUAAAUAAUCUAUAUUCAUAUCAUUGUAAUCUGUAUCACAACAAUAGUAGUCGAAAUCCUAACUUGGUUUGUAAAAAAAGAAAUUCUAGCGUGGUAGCGCCCUAGACAUACUCUUCUCGUGAAGAGGAACUAGGUUCUUAAUUUUUCAGUUUAUGAUUGCGUUUCAUUUUUUACAGGAACGACCAGAUCCAGCUCAGAAACUUCCUCAAGAUGGCGACGUUGAAGAAGCUCUGUCUCGCUAACGCCUAACAAUGGCUUCUCUAGACUGAUUCAGACUGUCCUCACCGCUGGAAAAGGAGAUUAGAUAGAAAUCCAUCUUUUAUUCCUCUUCAUUGUUUUUAUGACAAUUUCUUCUUUUCUUUUAUAAUAGAGAACUAUUUAUCACUUUUGUUGGACAUUUCUUGUUUGUUUCCCUCAAGAACUAAUAAUUUUGGUCAAUGGGUGACCACUGAUGAUGUUGAUUCUAUAAGCUUUAGUAUUUAGUCAAAUUCUUGAGUUUUUUUCAACUAGAAAAAAAAAGAAGAGAGGUUACAGUUUCAAUUAUUAAGUUUGAAGAAUUAAAGAAAAAAAACUAGACUACAGAUAUGAAAAGGUAAUUCUGAUAAUUUUUAUUGAUGAAUUUUUUUUUUGUAAUGAGUAAGAUAAUUUUUUAGGUUUUAUAAAUGGGUUUUUGGUUAAAAAUCUCAUUUAGAUAGAGUUUUUGAUGGGUAAUUAUGAAAUUUGACAUAAAGGGUACAUGAUUAAAAAGGUGGGAAAGGAAGAUGCGAAAAGAAGGUAAGAAGGAAUCAAUUCAUGGCAAAAAAGAAAAAUAAAUAAGAGGGAAGAAAGAAGACAUAUAUUGAUGGGAGGCGGAGGUGGGAUAGGGAGGUGAGAGAAAGAUGUAACAACAAAGAAGGGUUUAGCGAAAGGUGNNNNNNNNNNNNNNNNNNNNNNNNNNNNNNNNNNNNNNNNNNNNNNNNNNNNNNNNNNNNNNNNNNNNNNNNNNNNNNNNNNNNNNNNNNNNNNNNNNNNNNNNNNNNNNNNNNNNNNNNNNNNNNNNNNNNNNNNNNNNNNNNNNNNNNNNNNNNNNNNNNNNNNNNNNNNNNNNNNNNNNNNNNNNNNNNNNNNNNNNNNNNNNNNNNNNNNNNNNNNNNNNNNNNNNNNNNNNNNNNNNNNNNNNNNNNNNNNNNNNNNNNNNNNNNNNNNNNNNNNNNNNNNNNNNNNNNNNNNNNNNNNNNNNNNNNNNNNNNNNNNNNNNNNNNNNNNNNNNNNNNNNNNNNNNNNNNNNNNNNNNNNNNNNNNNNNNNNNNNNNNNNNNNNNNNNNNNNNNNNNNNNNNNNNNNNNNNNNNNNNNNNNNNNNNNNNNNNNNNNNNNNNNNNNNNNNNNNNNNNNNNNNNNNNNNNNNNNNNNNNNNNNNNNNNNNNNNNNNNNNNNNNNNNNNNNNNNNNNNNNNNNNNNNNNNNNNNNNNNNNNNNNNNNNNNNNNNNNNNNNNNNNNNNNNNNNNNNNNNNNNNNNNNNNNNNNNNNNNNNNNNNNNNNNNNNNNNNNNNNNNNNNNNNNNNNNNNNNNNNNNNNNNNNNNNNNNNNNNNNNNNNNNNNNNNNNNNNNNNNNNNNNNNNNNNNNNNNNNNNNNNNNNNNNNNNNNNNNNNNNNNNNNNNNNNNNNNNNNNNNNNNNNNNNNNNNNNNNNNNNNNNNNNNNNNNNNNNNNNNNNNNNNNNNNNNNNNNNNNNNNNNNNNNNNAUGGGUUUGUGGUUAAAAAUCUCAUUUAGAUAGAGUUUUUGAUGGGUAAUUAUGAAAUUUGACAUAAAGGGUACAUGAUUAAAAAGGUGGGAAAGGAAGAUGCGAAAAGAAGGUAAGAAGGAAUCAAUUCAUGGCAAAAAAGAAAAAUAAAUAAGAGGGAAGAAAGAAGACAUAUAUUGAUGGGAGGCGGAGGUGGGAUAGGGAGGUGAGAGAAAGAUGUAACAACAAAGAAGGGUUUAGCGAAAGGUGAUAUAAACAAAAUUAAUUUUGUAAGAAAAUAUUUUUUUUAAUGCCAUGUCAACUAGUUUGUAACUUUUAGUGUCCAUGUCAACAAACAAAAUUUUAUAAAGUUACCAAAAUUCAAAAUUUGUGUUACGAAAAGUAUUUCUAAUAGAUUGUGCCAUUUUCGGUAAAGGCUUAAUAGGUUGUGCAUUUAAGAAAAAAAAUAUUAUUGUGUUUCUACAAUUAACAUCAAUUAUCACCAAACCAUUAAAUACUAAAAACCAAUUAAGAUAUAGUCAUGUUACAAAAAAUGACUCUUGUUAUGAUUUUUUUGUUUAUGCAAUGAUAGGAUGAGAUUAAAAGGUUAAUUUCUUUUUCGACAAAACUUGUAAAAUAUUAUUAAACUCAAUUAGAUAUAAUAUCAUCUACAGUUGGUCAAUCAAAAAAAUUGAGGGUCUAUCCACCGAAACAAUCGUGGAGUUCCAAUGAGUCUGAUUAUACGCCAUAACAUGGGUAAGCUUGUUAACUUAUCUCCGGCCAUGACGCCAAUUACCACAAUCAAACUUUGCCAAAAGGCAACGAAUUAUGGACUAAAAUCCAUGUUCGGUAUGAUGAUCUUCCACAUGAUGCAAAGUCUCAACCAUGAUCAAGCUAUCACUUUCAAGAACCACAUUAGGAUACCUAUGUUGCAAGGCCAAUUGUUAGCAAAAUCUUGCCUCGACCGCCUCAGUUAAAGUAGGCUCAUAGCAACCCUACAAUUUCAACAUAUCCGCCAUUAAGUAAUGCCGAACGCCAUCCCAGAUAACCACCCCAAUACCCAUUCUGGAUCCUGUAAUGAUAGUUGCGUUUAAGGUAGUGAAACUGGUGAGUCAACAUGGGAUCGAAAAGGGACCUAGAAUCGUAAUCGUAAAAUCAAAUCGCAAAAUCAUAAAAUUUCACGGUUCUUCAAUAAUACUAAAUAUUCAGAAAUUCACCUUAGCAUAAAGACGUAAGUUCAUUAUCCAAUCUAAAAUUAAAAAUAAAAUCUCAAAUUCACCUUAAUAGGUUCUUCAGUUGCACUACUUUGAGCUGAUUUUCGAGUCUAGGAGACCGGAGACAAAAUCUGUGAACAAAAUUGUACAAUCUUACAACAAAAAACAAAAUACCUUCGAACAAAGAACCUAAACACCAAAAAUCCAAAACUAAUCUAACAAAAACAGAAUUAGAGAAAGGAAUGGGAUGAUGAGCAAAAUCAUGGAAUGGGAUGAUGAAGAAUCAUGGAAUCAAGGAAACAGAGAUACCUUCGAGCCGUAGGAGUGGCUGGAGCGAUGGGGACGACCAAAGAGGCUAUGACGAGGACCAUUGACUCCUGGUUCUGGUCUUCUAGACUUCUGGGGGACGACCGACGGGGGAGACGACAAGAGAGAAGACUGAGGAUCGAGCAGAGAUCGAACGAGCAAUCGACGACUUGCACAAUUUUUUUCAGAAGAUAAAUGAAUUUAAGGUUCGAUUUUUUGCCCAAAAUUGAACUCGGAUUUCCGUUUCGGUUCGAACCGAAGCAUAAAAACCAGCGGUCAGCACAGAGUAGUGGACUCGUGAAUCGUUGUAAACUCGUUCGAUUCCACGAUUUUCACGAUUUUGCGAGCGAUUUCAUGCCAUUAUAAGCCAUUUUGAUUGCGCGUGAAAUCUGACUCGACGGACCUAACAAAACUCGUAAAAUCGUCGAUUCCACUUCCUUCGUUGUGUAUGUACUGAUAUGGGGUUCCUGGUUUAGUGGUUGAACCGGGGUUGGACCGUUUUUAAACCGGGUCGGCCAUUUUAAAUAUUACAUAAAGUUAAAUCGGACCGAAAAAAUAUUGGAUUGAACGAAAUCAAACUGACAGUACAAAUAGUCAAAUUUUGAGAUUUAACCUUUGAAAAUUGAACAAUUUUAAAAAAUUUAUGUACAUUAUGAUGUUAUUCUUUUUUAAGUUUAUGUAAUAUAAUGAUAUUAUCUAUAGUUGAAGUCUUCCACACAUAUAUAUCUAGAAUGCUAAAGAAACCCUAAUGGAUCUUUCAAUCUUUCUUUAAUUGGGCUCCAACUACUCAAUACCCUCUCUCACACUUUUUUUCUCUAUAGAGAAACUCUCUCCCUUUUUCAUCAGAUUUUUUUCUCCUUGUAAUCUAAUCUUAUUUUUCUAAUAUUUUCAUUCUAUUUCUUCCCUAUUUGUCUCUUUUACUUUUUUCUUUUUGGAAGGUUAUUAGAAAAAGAGGACCACUAAAUAAUUCCGUCGACGUCCAGCAAUAGGGUUUUCCAAUUUUUUCACAGAUGGAUCCAUGUUUCCAAAGUUCUUUUGUUUUUUUUUCUGAUCUGAUAGUUGGUUCUUUAACUAGUUGAAUUAUCUGGUUUUCCGGGGAAAUCGGGUCAAUCCUCAGUUUUGUUCAUUCUCCUCAACCGCUAACUCAGUAUUGAUCAAAUGAUCGGUUCACAGUCGGACCGGCCGGGCUGAUAUGGUUUUGCUAACAUUGAUCUUAGUAGAGCCGACUAGAGGCCAUUCCAACCGAGCCACAAUGGCCUCAUACGAAAAACUCCUAGUUACCCUGAGUUCUUGAUAAUAAAUAAGAAUUGGAGUGCUUGUGCUAUGAUAUCACACUCCAAUUAGUGAAACUCAUUAAGCAUACACACAUUCCUUUCUUUCCAUCAGAAUCACAUAAGCAUUACCCAUCUUUCCAACUCCAAAUUCAAAACUUUGCGGUUGCUAAGUGAGAACCAAUCGCAUCAGUCAUUAGAAUCAUCAAAAUCAACCAGUGAUCAUGUUUAGAGUUACCUCAAAUCCGCCAAGUCCAUUGGCAAUCUCGGAAAUAGUGAAUUUGCAGGCAACCUGCAAAAUGGGCAUAUAUCACCAUGUCGAGGAUUAUGCUUAUACAUAUUAUACCUGUAGGUAAAAUUUACGAUGAAAUUUUCAUAAGAACUGCUCACCUUCGACGGAAUCUACAAUGACCAAGAACAAUUCCAAACAUCCGAGUUGCAAUUUGGAUUAAGACCCACUAAAAGAAAACCGUGUCCAUUAUUACGGAUAAAACCGGCCGUUGUCACUGAUAUUUCCAUGUCCCUGCCUCGUUGUCGCGGGAAAAUCAUCCGCGACAACGGGCGCCUUCAUAAUGAGGGGUGNNNNNNNNNNNNNNNNNNNNNNNNNNNNNNNNNNNNNNNNNNNNNNNNNNNNNNNNNNNNNNNNNNNNNNNNACGGCCGCCUUCAUAAUGAGGGUUGUGGGGACUAAACUAUCCGCGAAAAAUAGGGUUGGCGCGAACCCGUUAUGACCGGUUUGGUUCAAAUAGUUAGGUUGAAAGGCAUUUUAACAAGUUUAUCCGCAAAAACGGCAAGAGAUAUCCGCGACAAUGGCUAACAACAUUUGUUUUGCCGUCAUAACGGUUCCCCUAACGACGUUGAGUUUAUCCACGGCCAAGGUUGACAUUGUUAGUUUCUCCAUCCUACCCGUAAUGGUUGUUGUGCCAAAUACUAGGCCAUAAUAUCUGCGACAACAGCUCAAGUACUGCCUAAAAUUUUGUUAUUUUUGCUUGUUUCGUCCACUGUGGGCGCCUAAAAUAAAAGUUUAUAUAUGCACUAUUCUACACAUAACACAAUAUAUACCAAUAUCAUUAGCAUAACGAUAACACAUAUGAUCAUCCAAGAGUUAAUACUAUAACAUAAUCCAUAGAUCUACUCCAACAUAAUUCCUUGAUUUUUUACCUAACUAAAGUCAUUAGUUCACUAGACUACAUCACUAUCAACCUAGAUAUAACUACACUAGAGACUCGUCAUCCUCAUCCUCGUCAUUAUGACCAAGAUCCUUAUUAGCUCAAGUAUACAAAAGAAGAUAUAUAAAAUUGAAAUUAGGUUAAAACACAUAAAAUUAAGUAACAUGAACUUUAUAACAUAUAAAGAUUACUAAUAAUUUACCCGCCACAUCGUAGUCGUAGUUCUGUUGGAUGUGGUUAUAUUAUAUUAACCGCUACAAUCGUCGUUACGGAUCAUUAUCCGUGUCCGACGAUGACCUAACCGUGACACCCGUUAUCGCGGAUAUUAUCCCCCAUAACUAAUCUACGUCAGACAUCAAAUUUUGUUGUAGUGGCCAAGCUAUUCUUUAAAGCUAGUCAGCCAGUUUUAAUACCCCUAUUUUUUCGAAUAAACAGCUUUACUACUUGAAAUCCAAAUAAGCAUUCCGAUUCUUGAACAUCGCAAUGAAUAAUUUGCACGAUAGAAGUUGAUAUAGUUGACCAAAAACAGCUUUCAAUAAGAGCAGUAUUCUACUGAUAAGUCGUUCGAUUAACCAACUCACGAACUGUAGCAUCAACAUCAAACCUCAUCGGCGUAGAGGUCACAAAAUUACCGGGUACUAACGGAAGCCAUCCGUCUCCCCAAAUUCUAACGGACAUACAAUUUCCCACCCACCACCCAAGGCCACUCCAUACAAAACAUUGAGCACCAAAAAGGCUAUGCCAUAUAAAGCUAAACCCAACUCAGCUUUAAAGACAUAAUAGAAUUUUUAAAAUACUUAGCUUUCAUAAUUCUUACAAUAAGGGAAGAUGCUCUUGAGUGUAAGUUCCAAAGAUGUUUAGCAAGUAAAGUAAUGUUAAAGCCUAAAAAAUCACAUAAUCCCAUCCUAGCUUCGGAUUUCAAACUCAAUAGAUAUUCUUGACAAAAUGAGGGAUGAGCACUGGGUCGGGUCACCCAUCAAAACCCACCCGCCUAUAAUCACUCUCUACCACUACUACCCUUUUCCCCAUCACCAUAAAACUUUGCAUGCUUGUUUGUGUGUUUUUGUAGUUUUUUUGUGUGUUUUAUGUCGCUUUUCAUCGUUUGAGUAGAGAGAGAGAGGGAGAGAGAGAGGGAGAGAGAGAGAGGGAGAGAGAGUAUUUCAAGGGUUGCAUGUCAUACCAAUGAUUAAGAAUGCAUGAUAGAAGGUCUCGAUUCAAAUUAGGGUUCGGUCGGUGUCUGAUCGAAGGACGAAUGAUGCUUGCAUUAUUUUAUUUUUACUGAAAAAUUGGGCUUCUGGAGCAGCCUUUAGAUCAAUCUCAAGGUGUGUGGCUUUGCAUAGUGUGUGUCGUUUCCUUAAGUUUCUCUCGAUAGAAAAUCGAGUUUAUGGCGUGUGAUCCCACAUGCCAUGUGACUGAUUUUUGACAAAACGAACCGACCAAAGAACAACCAAAAACCCAACCGGCUCAAACCGUAAUGAACCAGAUUGAUUUUCAAACCGAUUUUCAACCAAAUCAAACUGAGUUUGACCAGACGCAUUGACCCUUCGUUGACCGGCCGUUGCCCCCGUUGACCGGUCACCAUGGAAGAAAAAACAUGGCAGUUUAGUAGUAUUUUGGGCAUAACAUUUUGCUCGGGAGUCUGAUUGACACAAGGUCAGUGACGUUGGAAACUUGUUCAGUUGCCUACAACUUUGAUGUCAUGAUGUGGCCUAAAUCCAUGCAGUUUGUGCUCAUUUUUCUUGGUUUGGAUUGAUGGAAUUUGAGAAAGUUUGAAUUGUGGUCUUGUUUGGUUUGAUGAUUUGGUGCGAUCGUGAUCAAUUUCUUGAUAGUAUUAUAGUGAUAUGUUCAUUGCAAAUGCUAACGUUUGGGAUGGUUGUCCAAAAUGGAUAAUUCUAGCUUUGCAAUGUGAAGAUUGCUGGAUGUUGAGACGUGAUCACUUUGUCACUCUUGUAUCGAUGGCAUGUUGUUGAUUUUCAUGAGAACUUGGAAUGGCAUCAUGAUGCUUCAAAGUGUGGUUGAACGUAGGUUGUUACUAGGCCUGAGAGUCGGUUAAUUUGGUUACUAACCAUCUGCUUAAUGUUCGGGGAAAAUGAUUUGGAGAUUAAAGUUGGUUAAUCGGUUUAACUGACCGACCAUAUGUAAUGGUUAAAAAGCCGACCAAUAACUGAUAAAUCGGUUAAAUAACCAAUUAUUAACCAACAGAUUAGUCGGUUAAUCCUAUGAACUGACUUUGAUUGAUUGACCGACUAUACCGACUUAACCUAACAAGAUCUGAAUCUCCAUGCUCAUCUCUGCCAUCGAGUGAGCCACGUUCUGCUCAUGAUAACCGUUCGUCCAAGCAUUCAUACUCUACUAAGAAAGCUUGCCAUGGCCGCCACUCUGAACACCGGUCAAAGAACUGAAUACUUGUUCCAAGAUCCGAACUUCCAGAACCGUCUCCAAUCCAUCUUCCCAAUUGUAGUUUGGACAAAGUUUCCUCAUCUGAAUUUUUACUCAAUCACACAACUACAACCUACACGACAACCAUAAUCAAUAGAGUGGAGGGGGAUAGGAUGAAACAGAGGACUGGUUGAAAUUAUAUGGGCCUAUGUUGCAUCCUCAAUAGCUCGUCGUCGCCAAGCCUCACUGAGCCGUCCCCGAGAGAGGAAGAGACGUAGAGUCUAGAGAUCGUGCUUUACUAGUGCUCAACACUCAUGGAGCCGUCACUGAGAGAGGAACAUAAUCCCUAAUGAAUCGUGAAAUCGAGAAUGAACGGGGAUAAGUGAAUAUGUUUGUGUGUGUGUGAGUUUGACCUAAAAAUGGGGGGAUUGGGAAUACGACGUAGACAUUUGGGUUCAGACUUGGGGUUCUUUUGACCGAUUAAUGUUGGUUAACACAAGUUAACUGACGGGUUUUAACCGAUUCACCGUUUAACUGAAGUCAGUUUUUCUCUUUGACCGUCCCCCAACCAACCUGUAGCUCGAUUAAACCUUCCUCUAACUUAUUCGGUCGGUUAAUCAAUUUUAAACGAUUAACCGAAACUGAAUUCCUACCCUUAGUUGUUACUAGGUGCUUUUGUUGCUCCCAAUUGAUGAUUUGUGAUUAUUUCCAUGCUCAUUUAAUUUGCUUCCAUUGCUCAUAUUUUGUCCUACCAUUACCCUUGAUGACUCAUUGGUUACUCACUGUUUUGGUAAAUGGUUCAAAGAAGCAUGAGGCAUAUUACUAGUCCAUUUGUUCCUGUAAUGAUAUAUCUUUGACCUCACCUUUUGGUAUAACUUGAAUGAUGCAUACGUUGUCACUUCAUGCUUUGCAUACACUCUUUAUGCUCGUUCUUGUUCAUUGGACUUGGUCAACAUUUGUGAGGAUUUCUUUGUGGCAAUUGAUGAUAAAUGAGUUAAGGUGGUCCCAUAGCUUUUGCUUACCCUUGUCUUACUAAUUUAUGAAUUAUAGGAUGCUCUUGUUUAGGAUUGCUAGUUAGUCUUGCUUGAGAAUAACUAGUUAUCUUCUUCAUUGGUUUUGCCUUUCUUUUACAUCUUGCCUAUGCCAUGUCUACUUAUGAGCUAUUUAUUGCCUAUCGUUGCCUAAUUCGAUUGGAUGCUUAUUGAGGUGGUUCCUUAGUGGCCGUAGGAUUAUGGGUUGACACCUCUACAUGCUUGAUGUGUAUGAUUAUUCUCCAUUUCGAAAUUUUCAAUGAUACUUUAAAGUCAAAUUUGAAUGCUCUUUACAAAUGUGUCAAUUUUGGCACAGUUUUCAAGGAUUCAUCAUUUAGUGUUUAUAAUUCAUUUUCGUUUUAAAUUUUCGUUUCCCACAUUUACUUUUCAUGUUUUGUUGCUUUUAUUGUUUUAAAUUUUAUUAUUUUUAUUUUAAUAGGCUUACUUUCCUUGUAUAUCCCCAAUUGUAACUUGGUAUCCGUAUUCUCAACUAAAUCAACAAAUGACACCAAAUAACUUAAAAUUGAGAACUAUAAGAGCUCAAAAGAAGGAGAUUUAGCAGAGUCUCUUAUAGGUUUCAAAAAAGCGAGGAAGGAUCUUCAAGUGGAGAGGACCCUUUCUCCUCCCUAACUCCAAUGGCGAACAAAACUCUAGCAUUAGACCACCUAAAGUCAGACGAUAAGCCAUGCAUUCAUCUCGUGGACUUUAUCUUCUAUUGCGACACCAUCAAGCUACACGGUGUUUCUGUUGAGGUUCACAUCGUGUUCCCCUUGAGUUUCAGCAACCAUCCACUCCAAGCACCUUAAAUCAUCCGUCUUAGUUUCUGCUUGUCCCCAAACACCGUACAUCGCAUGUACUUCGUGAUUUUUCCAUUCUUUGAGGCAUUUAGCUCCUCCUUGUACAUCAUACAGUUAUGAAUAAUGCCUCGACGUUGUUGUGUGCCUGAAAUUGAUAAAAAACACAACGCAACAACAUCAAAUGGACCCCAAACGGGUAUGAGACACUAAAUCGAGAUAGAAGUUACAAAUGCACAAAACAUCAUGUCGUGAAUGUUUCGAUCCGCGACACCGAUGGCUUGAAAUAUUUCAGAGUCGCCACCAAUCUGUUGAAGCGGAUUGGACGCUGUCGACAUAACCCAGGUCCUUUUGGACGUGAGUUAGAACAGGUCUGCGGAACAGAGAUCCUGGAUUCGAGAGGCGGUUACGUGCAGGGAAGGAUUAGCACCCCCAUAGCGCCCGUCAAACCGGUACUACUAAAUUUGAUAAGUUAUGUUUUAUUUUCUUAGUUUAGUGGUUUAAUUAUGCUUUAGUUUGGACGCAUAAGGUUAUGUAAAUUUUUUAGAGAAUAUUUUUAUUCAAUUGUAAGUCUUUAUGAGUUCCCACUCUUGUGGAAAUUUUUUUUUAUGUUGAUAAAUAUUUUGAGUUGAACAUUCUUAAUUUAAUUGUUUGGAUUUACGAAUUCCCAUUCUUGUGGAAAUUUUGUUUUACGCUGGUGAAUAUUUUUAAGUUGGUUAUUUUUAAUUUAUAUGUUUGGACUCAAGUCUUACGACUGCCUACGUACCUAAUUCUUUGGGAUCAAAGAUCAUGUAGUUCGUUAUGGAAAAGUUGAUUUGAGGAUUUUUUGUAAUUUUUACUAUUAUAAAAACCACGUUAUCAUGCUCAUUUUUUAUUUGAAAGACAUUUAUUUGGUUAUUUCAAAGUUGGAACUUUAUUUGCCCACUUAUGAUUAAAUGAUAAUUCUACAAAAUUCGAAACUCUUGUCACGGAUACGAAAUUCAUAUAACAUUGCUAUAAUAUCUUUAAAGGAUUAUUAUUAAGGAAAUUUCACAUUUUUUGCCAAUCGAAAAAUUAAUUGGUUUAUAUCAGUUAACUUAAUUUGACAUAAUUAAAAAUGCAUUACAAGACGGUUAACGAACUUACAUUUAAAUAAAUAUGUCACAAGUAUUUUUGGUGAUUUGACAAUUCUAUUGUGGUUAUGUUAAUGUUAAUUAAAAUGAUACGUUGAUUUGAAUAAUUGUAAAGUUUUGAGUUUUUAAGUUUACAACUUUAAGGUAUAAAUAUCAAAUAGGAUUAAAGAAGGUAUGACGUUUAUUCUGUUAUUCUUCCACACUUAUUUCACUUUUAUUCCACUCUUAAUAUGGCCUUAAUGAUAUAUGAAUAUAAUUGAAUCGACUAAAGGCUUGGCCUUUCUAAAUUAAUUGUGCCCAAGCUCGAGCUCGGCCCAACCGAACGAUGAGCCGAACCGGCGGGUAAGAGGAGGGCAGCCCGCGUGCCAAACUGGUCGAACCGGUUAUCCACGGUUCGAUCAGAAAACUCAAAAAGAUGAAAUUGCCCCUAGCGUUCCGUGCGCUGAAGAAGGGUGGCAGGGGAAAUUUUGUAACUUCACCUUAAACCUAAUCGGCCUUAUAAAAGGGCCUCUUAAAUCGAGAAAUGACUCAUUUGCAACUUCCCACUCUCUCUUUAUCAUCCCUCUUUCUAAACCGCCGCCCUUCUCCCCCCCCCCCCCCCCCCCCCCCCCACCCACCUUUAUCACGGAGUGUGCUGUUUUUUUCUAGUUCCUUUCUCUUCUUCUCAGCCGCCCUUUUUUGCCUCCUCUUACCUCUCAGGACCCCUCUUUCUACCUCCGUUUUUUCGAUUUUUCCAGAUUUGGACUUGCAUGUCAUCGGAGGAUACUCCGGUGAGUCCUCCGGCAAAAUGCAAGUCUCGAUCUGUAGAUCUAAUGUUUUAUUUUGGUAUUAAACAAUUUUGGUUAUUUGAGGGUGGUACCGACGGGGGUGGCGGGGAGGUAGAGAAAUGGAAAAAAGAGAAAGUUAGGUAAGUAAGAUUUCUUCCCUAUUCCUUUUGAUUAAUGUCUGGUUAAUUGCUAACGAAGCUAACUACCGGUUUCUUUGAUGACUUUUUUUAUGUCUUUGAAAAUGGGCAUAGUCGACAUGUUUUGGAAAAUGAGAGGAAAAGGAGAAGAUUGCUUUUAGGAGGUAAGACAGCUAAUUUUGAACCCAUUCUAAUUUUUCUAGGUAGAAGUAACAAUUCUAUUUGUUGAUAAGUUGCAUAAGAAACUAGGUUUGUUUUGUUACUGAAGUUGUAGUAGUAGUCUAGGUGUUUUAAAAAGUUUUGUUUGAAAAACUUUAUUUUUUUUACUAUUGUUUAAAUUUUUUUAGCAACAUUGUUUAUUCCAAAAAUCCGUAUUUUAACUCGAUUUUACUAUGAGUUUCAUAGUUCUUUAGGUCUUUGGUGCGAAAAUGAUGAAAGAUGGCUAUAGGUUUCGUUGUUAAUACUUUCCAAUAACUUUUAGUUCAUUUUUGAAGCUUAUUUGAUUGAUUUGUUGGUUGUUUAUUAAAAUGAAUCAUUUAUUUGAUUAGUUGCAACGAAUCAUUGGGUUCAAUAGUAGUUUAGAAGGUUGCUAAGUGAUAUAGCAUAACAAUGUAUAUGUAUGAAUGAUGUGUGAAUGCUUCAGAAUAGGGAUGUUUUGAAUGAUUACCUUCAUUCAAAAUUUCUCUUUUAUCGUAUUUCAGGUGGCGGCGCCUAUCGUGAGUGACGUCAAACCGAUUUGGCGGCUUCUAUGUGUAUGGCGACAAAAGAUGUUGUAAAACUUAUUUUUUUACAGUUUUGUAAUUAUUUCCCGGGACUUUGAACGAGUGAUGUUGGUGUAUUAUUUUUGGGGGUUUUGGGAAGAACUGGGGGACGAAUUUUGAAAACUGUAAGCUCCUCUUUUUGCUGAUUUUUGUCAGUCCAUUUAAAUGCAGAAAGGGCUACAGUCACUUCUUUUAACCAACCACAUCUUGCAAAGUUUUCUGACAAAAAUAAAAGGUGGCAGCUCCCCAAAUAAUAACCGUAACGGGCCCGAUAUUGGGCUUGAAAUAAGGCCUGGAAUCGGGCCCGAAAUCAAAUUGGGUCUAACACAUAAAUAGUUUCGAGAUAAGGGAUUUUGCCGAAUUUCGAGAUAGCGGACUUGAGGUCCACUCAUUUCGGCCGUUUCCGUUUAAAAAGAUCUAAAACAAAAUCGGCUUAGAACAGUCUGUAACAUAAUAAUUACAUCUCGAAAAUAUGCUAUUUGGCUACCAAGUUCUCCCCUAACGUGCACUUUGAUUAAUUUAACUGAAUAAACUUCGCAACAAGUAAAAUCUCGACGCUAAAUCCUUCCUAGAGAUGCUACGACUAUUUAGUGAAAUGACACUGGCGUGCAUUCUUCACUCGAACGAAAUUUGGUUACUACAGUUGUCCCUCUUUGUAUUACUUUCGCUUGGAAGUGGAAAGUGGUACAAAGACAGAAACCAAAUUUCGGACGAGCGCCUGAACUUCUCACGUCAAGUCCACUAGGGUCCAAGGAUCUGCCACAACAUCGGGUAGAAAACAAAAUUUGCAACCUGACCACACAAACAACAUGCAAUGCAUUUCCCUAUGGGUGUUAGGGUGAAUGUACUAGGGACUCAGCUUGACUUAUCUCCCGUUCCAUGGGUUGACUAUACUAGGGACUCAACUCGACUUAUCUCCUGUUCCAAGGUGCAAUCCGCUUUCCCCAGGAUGCUAAGGGUUGAUGUACUAGGGAUUCGACUAGACUUAUUUCCCGUUCCAACGUGCGAUCCGUUUGCCUUAGGACGCUAAGGGUUGAUGUACUAGGGAUUCAGCUUGCUUAGUUCCCGUUCCAUGACUACAAAUGUGUUGAUGAUGAAUGGUUUCGAAAGAGUUUGAGUAAGGCUCCCCCUUUUUGAAAAAAACAUGCAUCUGAUGGCAAUGCUUGAUUGAUAUUUUUCAUCAUUUUCACUCCGACGAGAUUCACUGUUUUGUUUUCUUGUCGCUUAGUUCGCACUACGUGCUAGCGCAAUGGUGUCAACCCUGCUGAUAGCUGGGUAACCUUUAAUGUAUGUGCCCAUUUUUCUUUGUUUUUCCCCCGACGUCUUCAUAUUAUUCCCAUGCCUUGGGAUUUUAAGGAUCUCUUUCCUACUUUGUCUCUACUUCUAGAUAUAAUGGUAAGAUAACGACGACCUUUGUAAAUUUCUUUCUUCGGUUAGGAAUAAGUGGAGAAAUCCUGCCAUCCGGGCUUCUUUUCUUUAACCCUUCCCUUUUACUAAUUUUUUCAUUCUUUCAACGGUUUUCAUUAUUAUUACUAUUAUUUUUCUCCCUUUUGUCUUCACUUUACCGCUAAUUUCAUUUGAAAAGACCUCCUAAUGAUUAAUUAGAGCGAAGGUGUUUGCACGAACGCAUUUGCCUCAAGUUCCUGUGGGGUGUUGUACCUCAUCCAUUUUGUUUGGUGAUGCGUGAACAAUGGUUAGGAGAGUAGUAUUUGAGAAUUCAUGAAGUAUCCAAAACUUAAAGUUGACUUAAAUUAUCACUUUAUUGAUGGAAAACCGAUCACGUAGAUCUCCGUCAGGAACUUUAAGCAUAGUACUUGUUUACUGAAUAAGAGUUAAAUAGGUAAGGGAGCUUGUCUCCGUCCAUGUUUGCCAGUAUUAAUGCCCCCCUGAGAAAGCCCUUUCCCCUACAUAGGGCCCUUCAUAGUUCGGCUUCCACAUUCCUCUUGGGUCCCCUUGUCAAAUGGAAAUCUUCUUCGUUACCAACUCUCCUUCGCGAAAUUCCCGUGUUUCACUUUUUUUUAAAAGAUCUGAUAAAUCUGCACUGAUACAGGCGUUAGUGGUGGAUAGCUGCCAACCUUUUCUCAUCAAUUUAAUUUAACUGGUCGUAUGCCGCUUUUACCUACUCAACUUGUUCUAACUUCGCCUCCAUGAUAACCCUUAGUGAAGGCAUUUCUACGUCCAUGGGAAGCACUGCCUCCAUCCCAUAGACCAAUUGGUAAGACGUCGAUCCCGUUUAGGUUCUUACUGAUGUUCAGUAACCGUGCUGGGUAAAUGGUAGAAUUACGUGCCAAUCGCGGUCGGUAACGACCAUUUUCUGUAUGCUUUUCUUGAGGUUUAUUGUUUGUCAGCUCGACCGCUCCGUUCAUCUUUGGUCGGUAUGGUACCGAGUUGUGGUGCUUAAUCUUAAACUUGUUGCAAAGCUCAUGCAUCAUCUUGUUGUUGAGAUUUUUCGCAUUGUCGAUUAUUAUUCUUUCCAGGAGCCCAUACUAGCAAAUGAUUUCCUUUUGUAUGAACUUUUUGACAACGCUCUUGGUAGUGUUUGCAUAUGACACAACCUCGACCCAUUUCGUGAAAUAGUCGAUGGCUACUAGGAUGAAACGGUGCCCAUUAGAUGCUUUUGGUUCAAUCAUGCCUAUGACCUCAUGAUGCAAAAGGCCAAGGCGAUGCCAUAAUGUGCAACGAUGAUGGAGACACGUAUUUCUCACCGGCAUAAACCUGGCACUUAUGGCAUUUUCUCACGUGUUUUACAUAGUCAGAGUUCAUCUUCGUCCAAUAGUAACCCAUCCUUAAUAUCUUCUUAGCUAGCGCAUGACCACCGACAUGUGUGCCGCAGACUCCCUCAUGGACUUCUUUUAUUGUUCUCUGAGAUUCAGGGGCAGCUACACAUCUUUGCAGCACAAAAUCAUGGCUUAGUCUGUAGAGGGUAGUCCUAUGAACAUAGUAACCCAUCUCCAAUCUCCGUAGAGUCCUUUUAUCAUUUUCAGAUGCCCUAGCUGCGUACUCCCUUUUAUGUAGGUAGGUCUUUAUGUGAUGGUGCCAGGGAUUCCUCAUGCUCUUUUUGGACUCUACCUAGGUAGGCAGGUGCAUUUUUCUUUUUGAUUUUGCUUCAUGGGUUAACCUCGGUCUCGUCCAGUUUGUACAUCGAGGACAAUGUGGCGAGAGCAUCCGCUAUUUGAUUGUCGACUCGCGAGAUGUGCUCAAACUGUAUCGACUCAAAUUUUGCGGCCAUUUCCCCUAUGUAUUUAUGGAAUGGGACAAGCUUAUGACCCCUAGUUUCCCAUUUUCCUUCAACUUGUAUAUUACUAGCGCUGAAUUACCAUAUGCCUUCAAAUUCUUAAUAACCAUUUCGAGGGCUCCUCGGAUCCUGAAAGUGCACGAUUGGCACUCUGUUAUGUUGUUGGUGCAAUCGAAGCAAAUUUUGGCAGUAAUAGGGCACACCCUCCCUUCAGAAGAGACAGAAACGACGCCGACGCCCUGUCCCAAUGAGUUUGAGGCCCCGUCAAACUUCAUCACCAAUGUUUUUUGGACGAAGCCUUCCACUAAUUUCUCAGUGUUCAGUAUAGUUUCAUCCGGAAAUUCCAUUAACAUCGGAUUCGUGUCCGAGAUUGCAUGCUCCGCUAGAUGUUCUGCCACUACACUCCCUUCAAUGGCCUUCCUUCGGAUAUAAACGAUGACGUAUUCUGCCAGCAGCACUUGCCAUUAGCCUAUCCAUCUGGAGAGGGCCAACUUUUCGUGGACAUCCUUGAUAGGGUUCAUUUUUUAUAUUAGGAGCUUCGUGUGAUAUAACAUGUACUAUCUCAGCCUUAUGGCUACCCAUACAAGUGCUCCGCAAGUUUUCUCGAGCGAUGUAUAUCGAGAUUCGUAGUCAUGAACUUCUUGCUGGUGUAAUAUAUUGGCGCGCUCUUUCCUUCCCGAUUCAACAUGUUGGGCCAACAUCGCGCUUACCAAAUUUUCAAAUACCGUGAAGUACAAUAUUAGUGACCUUCUAGAAGUUGGUGGGGCCAGAACCGGAGGGUUUAAUAAACACCCUUUGACUUUCCGAAAGGCAUGAUGACAACCUUCAUCCCACUCGACAUUCCGGUUCUUCUUUAAAAGCUUGAGAAUGGGUUCACACGUUAAGCUCAAAUGCGAUAUGAACCGACUAAUGUAGUUCAAGCGUCCUAAGAAUCCUAGCACCUCUUUAUGCAUUUAGGGAGGAGGUAUGUCAACCAUUGCCUUCACUUUGUCAGGGUCCACUUCAAUCCCCUUUUGGCUAACCACGAAACCGAGCAGCUUCUCCGAGGUGACUCCGAACGUACACUUUUCUGGGUUCAGCCAGAGCUGGUACUUCCCGAGUCGCUCGAGCAAUUUUCAUAGCACAGUUACGUAGUCGUCUUCCUUUUAUAACUUUGCUAUAAUGCCAUCCAGAUAUACCUAUAUUUCUUUGUGUAUCAUGUCAUGAAACAGUGUGACCAUGGCCCGCUGGUAAGUUGCCCUAGCGUUCUUCAGCCCAAAAGACAUAACUUUAUAGCAAAAGGUUCCCCAUAAAGUGAUGAUGGUCUUUUUUUCUCGAUCAUCCGAAACAUCCUGAUAUGGUUGUAUCUUGAGAAACUGUCCAUGAAAGAGAACAUAUUAGUUGACGGUAUUAUCAACGAGGACAUUUAUGCGAGGCAAAUGGAAGUUGUCCUUUGGGCUUGCCCUAUUUAAAUCUCUGUAGUCUACGCACAUUCUCAUUUUUCCAUUCUUCUUAGGCAUAGGGACCAUAUUAGAGAUCCAAUCGGUGUAUUACGCCACCUGUAAGAACCCGAUUUCGUAUUGUUUCUGCACUUCUUCCUUAAGUUUGAGUAUCCAUUCCGGUUUCAUCCGCCAUAACUUUUGCUUUACUGGCUUGCACUCCUCCUUUAUUGGCAAGUGAUGUGUUACUAUUGUUCAUCGAGGCCCAACAUAUCUUGAUAAGACCUUGCGAAAACGUCCUAGAAGUUCUGGAGUAGUUUGACGAGCCUGUUCUUUUCUGCUUGGUCUAAACUGUCCCCUACCUUAACCUGUCGCCGAUUGUCCUCUGUUCCCAAAUUCACGACCUCUACUGACUCGUAGAAAGGUUUCAAGGAUCGCUCUUCUUAUCCUGCCAUCCAAUCUGUUUCUAGGUUAGAACCAUCACUGGCUUCCUCGGUUUCCAUCUCAUAAACUGGGUGGUGAAAGUCAACUUUAGUGUUUCGUACCUCUUCAUUGUUUUCAAACACAUCUGUAACCCUGUUACGUGACGGGAAAUAGAAAAGGGAAAAAGAAGAAAAGCGGAAGUGAAUAAUAUAGACGAUGCACGGAUUGAGACUUAUGAAAACAUGCUUUAUCAAACAUGUGAAAAUGUGAUACAUGCAUUCAGGAUCACUUAAAAAACACUAGGAAGCCCUUGCUUAUUUUAUUUAGUAGUCAUAUUUUAGAGUUAUUACAUCUGCAAUGGCGAAAGUAACUCCAAAGCCUCCCAAUUGCUUAGCUCUUCCUUUGGACGGAGCUGCCGCACCCAUUUUAUUCCGGUCAUAAUUCCCGUACCCAGCAUGCUGAUGAAGAGAUCUGCAAAAUCCGACUGUAACUCUUUGGUGGUCGGAUCAGUGUAGUUUUUCCUCACAUUUAUCUUUCCAGCAUUCUUGCUUGUGAUGUGAGGUAUGAAAGUCAGGCCUUCAUCAUCUUCUGUCCCACUUAACCUGGACACCCUCCUCCUUAUCCGUUCCUUUUGGAUCCUCCUUAUAUCAUCAUCGUUUAGAAUGUAUCGCAAUCCCGCACGGUUCUUAUUUUCUUUGACCUGGAUGGGUUCUUUCAGCACCUCCUGCCAUUAGUAUCAUAGAUUCCAUACUCGAUAUUAAUCUAACCGAUGUCUCGAGACUAAUUAGAGUUAAUUACCAAGUGCAUUAAUAUAGUACAAUGAUUAAUCUGAAAAUUAAUUCCAAAGCGGAUCGACAUUCCGCCCCUCUCUCAAGUGUAGCGGAGACGACGAUAGACCUUGGCGUUUGGGGAUUUAGUCUCACUUUCGUAUCUAAACCAAAUCCCAACAAUAAUCUUACAACUGGAAUUCGACAAUUACAAAAUAAAGCAGUAGCUAUAUGCAAGAGAAAGACAAUAACGAAAUUAAUGAUAGUUCCGCUUAACACAAUCGAAAUUAUGUCGUAUUAACACAUAAUCAAGGUUUCAUCAAUUUCGGACAGACAGCUUAGUUACACAUGGUGAUCAAAUUAAAAACACAGAAAUCAAGAUAAUACAUGAACCUGGAGCUCCAUGCUUCAUGAACGCUCUGCCGUCGUAAAAUUCAGCAAUGUAGGCGGUCCGAACGGAAGUUCCGAAAUGGAUUUCUUCACCUUCGGAGCUCGAAAUUGCAUGCGGUUUGAAGUGGCAUGUUCCUGGGUUGAAGAAGGACGUCUUGGGGCAGAGUAGGAAGGCUUGCGGGUCUGAUAUGGUGUGUGUAUGGUGUGAUUUCGAAGUGGACAUGACUUGCCCUUAUAUAGGCUCGAAAAAUGGCGUAUUAAGGCCUCCGACAUGGGCAUACCAACUCCAUCAUCUGUAUGCAAGCUGUAGCUGUCCCUGGACUGAUGAUGGACGGAUCUACAUGUGCUGGACGUCCUCAACCAUGCCCGGUUAUCCUUCCGGCGAUCGGUUGAGCGGUGGAUUGUAAAACGGGUCGUAACUUCUUCGUUGCAAAUCUGAUUUAGCUCCGGUUUGUAUCGUUGGAUUUUUAAUUCAUCCCUUUAUAAUACGUGACCUGAAAUUUUAUUAAACACACUAGAAGAAAUAUAAAAUUGGACCAUAAAGGUCCAAGGGUUGAAUUUACGGAAUUAAGUGCAAUAUAACUGAUAUCCGUCGAAACUUUUGUUUGCAAUUGAUAUUAUGACUUGAAGUGUAGAAAGUUUAGUGCCAAAUAUUACGGUAUGUUAUGAUGUGAUCAAAAUACCCCACACUUAAACUUUUCUUGUCGUCAAGAAAACUGUAACUUAACCCACACGAAAUACCAAAGAUAGUUACCAUCAUUUAUACAAGGUUUAGGAAAUGUAAUUUUACAAUUUACGAUGCAACAGAGGUUAAAUGCUUGGCCACAUCGGUGAGAUAAAUCUCUAGUUAGAAAUUCACGAGACAGUGCACACCAGAUUAAUCAAGAUUCAAAUGCUAAAAAUAAAAGGGUUAAAUGCAUUUGUUGCAACUAUAAGAUUCAUUUUGCGCUUCCUUACGAAAUUAUGAAAUUUUAUUUCUUUUUUAAAGUUUCAAAAUUUUGAAUAACCCGUAGCCGAGCAAGACUAGUGAGUACUAUACUCAACCUUUUAACACAUUUCAUUCUUCCCACACACACCUCAAUUAAGUCCCGUAUGGGAGGCAUCUAAACUGGCUGCCUAAUUGGCAGGGCAGCUAAUGCAGAGGUGCUAGUCCUCUACCACACGCGUUAAGUUAAUCAUUGAAUUAUUGAGACAAAUUAAAGAAGCAUUUUGAUUUAAACAUUUUUUUAUGGCGAAAGUUGAAUCCAGUUUUGAAUUUGCAGAUUUAAACCAAACAUUUUAAGCAUUUGCAUCAAUUAAUCCGAGAUGUACUAAAUACAAAAAUGAAAGUCUAGUAAAAACAAGUGGUCAUUCCGCAACAACUACCAUGUCACCCAUAAUCGUUACAUUCCCAUUGUCUAUUUUAAUGUGAUCCCUAAAUUGGUAGAUGUGUAACCGCUAGUACUGUUUGUGAGGAGAUUAAAGUAAAGUACGGAUGAAAUGUUGAAAAAAAUUUAAAACACCUCUCGUUACACCAUCACCCAACACUUGAAUUAUACAUUGCCCUCAAUGGACUAUGAAUCUGGGAUAAGAGGGAAACAAGUAUACCGAGAUAUCGAGAAUGACAAUGCCAAAGUAAACUGCUCUAUAAUACCUGUCUGUCGGAUGAUAACGGUAACACAGUGAUAACAAAACAAAACAAAACUCAAAACACAUUUGGCAAAUGCCACAACUAAAAAUCAUACUAAAUCACACCACACAAUGAUGCAGAUCCAAGAUAAAUAUAUUCGAAAAUGUUAAUAUUUUGAAAUACAUCAAAAAGAAGAAGAGAAAAAUACACAUCCUAGAUCGAAAAAUCAAUCAUAACUAUCGGAUCAUAUUCAAAAUUUUGGGCAGAGUCAAGAUGAUUUUAAGGGUCUUGGAUGAUUUUAUUGAAUGAAAUAAGAAACUUGGGUUGUCUCCCGAGGACCACUUUUUUAUCGUCUUUAAGUUAGAAGUUUCCAAGAAAAUUAUUUAAUUAGCCAGGUGAAACACCUCAUGGAUGGUGAGAGAGUCGCUCGCAAGGUAGAGUUUCAACCGAUGACCAAUAACUUUAAACAUACCAUGAUCAGGGCUCGAGAUUUCAACAAUUUCGUAAGGAAGAACUUCAGUCACUGUGAAUGGGCCCAACCAAUGGGAUUUAAUUUUCAUGGAAAGAGGCGAAUCCUAGAAUUAUAUAGGACUAUGUCUCCCGGACGAAAGUGUUUUCCAGGUUUUAACCUUGCGUCAUGAAGACGCUUUGUCUGUUGCUUAUACAAAUUGCCAUUUUAAUAGGCAUGAAGAUGGAAUUCCUCCAGUUCAUGUAUGUGGAACUGAUGGCGAGGUCCAGCGACACUCAUAACAAGGUUUAGAGAUUUAAAGGCCCAUAAUGCCUUAUUCUCUAACUCAACAAGCAGAUGUCAUGCCUUUUCGUAGAAGAGACGGUAAGGGGUAGUGCCGAUAAGAGUUUUAAAAGUGAUAUGCCCAAAGUGCAUCGUCCAACUUUUUUUACCAAUCCUUGCGAGUCCAGGUGACAGUUUUCUCCAAAAUCUACUUAAGUUCUCGGUUCGUUACUUUCGCUUGACCACUAUUAUGUAGGUAGUAACCAGUGGACAGACGAUGAGUGAAACCAAAGCGGCGACACACAUGAUCAAACUGUCCCUGACAGCGGGUUCCUCGAUCGCUGAUGAUAGUGCGAGGUGCUCCAAACCGAGUGAAAAGUAGUUGCACAACUGGCUUAUAAGCUAGCCUCUUCCAUAAGAACUUUGUGGGUAAAAAAAGAGGGAGAGAUGCUUCGAAUAUCAUAGAUUUUCCAAGAAAUGGCCUUAAUAUGCUCUUUUAAAAGGGUGAUGAGACGUCCCUUUUAUUCCGGAAUGAGGGAGGCAAUGAUACUGACUAGAAGCUUCGAGUAAUCCAUCAGAAAAGCAUACUUGAGGUGCUCCGGUAGUGCUUUCAUCUUCAAUAUUGGAGGCUCCUCAUAUGAGGGUUUGACGGGCUCAAUCCUUGAGAGCUUGACAGGAGGUUCAGGAGCAGAGUCUUAGCAAUCUGCUCAAGUUGUUGUACCUCAUCAGAAGCAUCCCAAACACCAAAAUAAAAGGCACAACUCGAGAGGGUCUUAGCAAAUGCCCUCAGAUAAGAAGAAUACUGAUCCAACCUCAAUGGAGUCAGCAGGAUAGUUUCAGUCAUCCUGGACAUGGGCAUAUUUCAUCCUGUCAGCAUGGCGAAAUGUGGCCUUUCCUUGACCUACUUGAAGAGUAAGCUCGCCUUCAUGGACAUCAAUGAUGGUGCGAGCCGUAUUUAAGAAUGGGUGGCCAAGAAUGAGGGAGGCAUCUGAUUCAUUGGUGUCAAUGAUAACAAAGUCCACCGAAAAGACAUAAGGUCCCAUCUGCAUAAGUACAUCUCUCAGGAUUCCACGACAAAUUCGAGUGGACUUGUUAGCCAACAGGAUGGUCAAUUGAGUCGGUGUUGGUUCUCCUAAAUCGAGCUGUUGGGAUAUCUUGCAUGGCAUUAGAUUGAUACUUACCCCAGAGUCAGCCAAAGUCUUAUCCAUGCAGGUGUUGGUGAUAUAGUAACAUAAGGUGAAAGAAUCGUGAUCCUUAUGUUUCUUAGGUAGCUGGUUCAGAAUGGCAGCAUAACAUUCAACAUCAAGAGUAACAGACUGAAUCUCAUCCAAUUUUCUCUUAUUGGUCAGAAUCUCCUUUAGAAAUUUCGAGUACUAGGGCAUUUUGGUAAUUUCCUCAAUAAACAGGAUAAUGCCAUUUGCCGUAAUCAUAAGUUCAAUGAACCUUUUGUAACUGGCACCCAUCAUAUCACUCCUUAGACGAGAAGGAUAAGGAGGUUUUGGUUUGUAGGGUGGUAACUCUGGCUUAGGGGGAGAUGGUUACAGUAGCCUUUGGAUAGGUGGCCGAGGUGGCUUUCUCAUCCUUCUUCUCGACGCUAAAGUCAAUGAUCAGCGUUGGAGGAAUGAUGACAGGUGUGGACUAUGGAAUGGGAGGAUCCUUACUGGUGGUUCCACUCUUGAGGGUGACACCUUCACAAGAUUCCGAAGUGUCAAAUCCUUCAUUAGUAACAAAGAUUGCUUUUGAUUCUUCUUGCAUAGAAUUGUUUUCUGUGUUGCUAGGGAGAGAGCCUUGUGGUCUCUCACUAAGAAUUUUGGAAAGAUUUUUCAAUUUCAAUUCAAUGUUAUGGAAAGUGGUUUGUUGCCCACGGAUAAUCUUUUCCAACCUCUCGAGUCUGGAAACUUCAUCAGACUUGGAUGUAGAAGAGGCUUGAAUAGGCGGUUAUUCAGGCUUUUGCCCAAAACCAGGAGGUCAUUGGUUAUUAGUAUAGUUCCUCGAUUGAUAGCCUUGAUUAAGACGAGAGGCAGAGUUUCCUUGGUUGAAGGUUGAUCUGUAAUAGGCAUGUUCAUCUAAUUUGUGAAUGUUUUGCUGUUGUGACGGUCCUGAGCAUUGGGUAUCAUGGUUGGUUUGGUAAGAGUUUUGGAAAGACUUGGAUUUAACUUGAUUUCAAAAGUUUGAGUUUUAAUUUUGACCAAAAAUUUAUCAAUCUUGUGGGUAACCACCACCCAAAAAGUCAACUUCUUCUGUCUGGUUAAAAACGGUAUCCCCAGAGUAACAGUCAGUAGAAUCACAUCCUUGAUCCCCUCAAGCAACAUAGACAAAGAUUAUUGCCGUCGAAUUCUAUAGGGUCCUGACGUUCAGCUUGCUCACUUUUUGAGAAAGCGCAUGCAGCUGAGAGAGAACGGGAGAAAUAACCGUCCCAAGGGUUUCAUGACGAAUCACAAAGGAUGAAGUGGUAGGCGGGGUGCUAUGAUGCUUCCCAUGUUGCCUAGUCAAAGUAUGACUACACAUAUCACAUCCAGCAGCCAGGUUGAUCAUUUGUGUGCUUUCCCGAUUGAGCCUUCAAUUGAAAAUAUCGGCUUGGUUUCGGUCAUCGAAGCUGUGAUGAGCGCAAGAGCGGAGGAGGGCUUGGAAUCGAUUGCAUGCUUCAUAUAAUUGUUCAUUAUCUCAUUGCAUGCAAUGGAUAAUUCUCUCUUUUAUCUCACCGCGCUUCUAUGGAGGAAAAAAUACCUUGAGAAAGGCUUUAGCGGGACCGUCCCACAUGGUAAAACUCCCUACUGGUUGAGAAACAAGCCAGAUUUUUGCAGCUCCCUUGAGAGAGAAAGGGAAACGCUAGAGGCGAAUGGCAUCAUGGUGCACCUGUUGGAGUUGUAAGGUGUCGCAUAUUUUGAGUAAGUAUUUGAUAUGUUGGGUGGAGUUAUCGUCCUCUUUCCCCAAGAAUUGGACUGUUUGUUGGACCAUGUAGAUCAUAGCGGGUCGCAAUUAAAAAUUGUUGUCUUCGACGUGGGGUCGGGCGAUGGAGGACCCCAGGUUCUAGAGACUUGGUUUGGCAUAAUCGCCAAGUGUCUUCUCUUCAGCCAUGGUGAAGGAUCCUUUGGGGGAAAUGCUUACGUGAUCUUCGCCAGAGUACUCAUCCUUGGAAUCCGUUCUACCGAGAGCCGGAGGUGCAAUUGUAAUUCCUUCAAGGACAUGUUUAGAAAAUUACCAAGUAAUCCGUCGAGUCAUUCAUUUGACCGAAUAGGAGUUUGGAAGAUGGGAGGAGAGAGGGAAGCAGAAUGAAUGAAUUCGUUGAGUUUUAGGUUUUGGAGGUUUGAAGAAGAAGUUUCGAGAGAGUGUUAAAGAAGGUGAGUGGGAAGAUUAUGGAGUACUUUACUUAGAAACGCCGCCUUGUUGCCAAAACCAAAACUUUCAUUUCAGUUCCAAGGAAAGUAGGGGAGUCACUCAGACUACUUAAAUCCCUUUAAACUUUAGGUAGCAUCUCUUUACGAAAGCCAAAAUAAUCCUCUCAUCUUUUUUAAUUCUCCUUUCUUAUGAUUUUAAAUUUUUUCUAUUUUUCUAUUUUUAGUGUUUAAAUUCAUAUAAAUGAUUGGUAGCAGAUUUUUUUAUUUUUUAAUUAUUUAUUUGGAUUUUUUUGUGGAAUAGGAAAGAUUCGGAGAUGAGUGGAAGAUAUGGAAAAGAUUGAGAGUUCAGUUGAGCAAGAUAAAAUAUUGAAUGGCUGAAAUGUAGAGAGAGAAAAGUUGAGUGACCAAGAGGGGAGCAUGGGAAAUAGUAUCUAGAAAAUAAAUAUAAAAUAAUUUAAGAAAAAGUAUUAUUAUUAAAAGUGAAAAUUUAGUAACUGUUUCGUACAAAAGGAACGAGGUCCACGACAACGACGCCAAAAUUUGAUCACCCCCGUAGGCAAGUUUAAAGAUAAACUCGGAAAAACCGAGGUCGUAUUCACGCGGAUUCAUUCCGAGUAUUACUCCUGAAAGUGCGAAGAUGAAAGUCUAAUCGUUGGAAUAGCGGGUAUGAAAGCACACAAAUCGCAAUCGAGUAUAAUGGAUGAGUGAAACCUGUCCGGAAAUGAAUUCACCAAGAAUCAGAGCAAGGAUGGUCAUUGUAACCCUUCUUCCUUGUUGCAGUUUCAUCAUGAUAGGCUACACCUUUUGUUGUUAGAUUAGGGAUGAUGUGGAUGCAAGGAGAAUCCCCUCAUAAUGAGGGAUUGGACAAGAUUUGGAUGAUUUGUGGGCUUGCUUUGGAUGAAUGUAGGGAGAUUGAUGCAUGUACACACUUGAUUAAACUAGGAGUGUAUCAUUGAAUGAGAAAUUGGUAGUAUACGAGGACCUUCCAUACCCAAUUCAUCCAUCUUUUUUUGUAAAUUGCAUUGACGCAUUUAAUCAAACAUUUGGCGUGCAUUUUGGUUCUUUCUUAGUGGACCAAACUAGGUUUAGAUAGAGUCAUUGGGUGUUGAUGUGACCACAUUAGCAUCCUUCAUAGGUGUUUGGGGUGCCUUAUUUCCUUGUGCAUCAUCAUAUUAUUCCGAUUGAACAUCAUUGAAUGCACUUUUGGCUUAUAAGUUGUUUGUGACCACAACAAGUUAUAAGGUCCAUUGGUACUGUUAGAUAUGACCAUGCAUAUAGACUUUAACGAAUAGGAAUGCAUGGAAGCUUGUAUAGUUUGGUACCUAACAUUACACUUUGGUCAUAAAAUACCCAUCACAUAAUCAUAAAAUAUUCAUAACAUUUGGUUUAUGUUUUUCUCGCAACUCUUUUUGUUGGAUUUAAUAAUCACCACCAGGAUGCCGUUUUUAGAGUCUGUUUAAUGUAUGAUGAUAGAAUUAAAUCAUUUGAUUGGUUAUUCCGUACAUUUUUACAGUGCCUGUGAGGGAAGGCACCCAAACCAUUUUCUCAAAUCAGGACCCGACCAUGGAUGCGGCAUUGAAGAGUGCCAUGCCAAAUACAUACCACGCGACGGCGGUGGGGUAUGAUAGGAAUCCUCUGUCGACACACCCUAACUGUGAUGCAUGUCAUCGGGAGGUUUGAAAGCGAGAAGUUCAACACACUUCCCGCAUAUACAUGUUGAGGAGAUGGACUAGAGGAGCCAAAAUUCGGUUUCAUGACAUAGUUAUUACGCGGCUCCUCUCUCAGGAUGGUGAGGAUGGUGAAAGACUUGCUGAAGUUUGUUUCUAUGAUUAGGGUUGUUUAUAGGGUCGAUCAGUUUCAUAAUAUGUUGGAUGUUGUGGUAGAUGGGUUGGCCAUUCAGGUAUGCAGUAAUCAAAGUAUACUUAUUUGUUAUAUUCACCGUACAUGACUUGUAUAUGGUCAUAAUAUACCUAUUAUGAUAGUGGUAUUUCUGUAGGUUGAACAAGCAUUGACCUUGUAUGAUGGACAACAGCCAAGGGAAACUGUGGUGGCAGAUAGAGAUACCACCAGCGUUGCAGUCGCUACGUGUUGUAGUAGUGUGAUCAGGAGAGAGAUUGCAACGAAGUACACCCCGCAGAGCAGACCAAGUAAGAACAACCAGCGUGGGAAACAUAUCACAGAUACGGUCGCAUGAGGCAGUGUAACAAGUUUAGGAAGAUUCGUGCAAAGGAAGUUCAAUCCGAACAAGCAGUCGCAAUGGACGUGGAAAUGGAGGACUUACUCAAUAAUGAUGUUAUACAUCAGUGCAUCGCAUUUUUGCAGGCACAGGAGAGCACCACUGCUACUGGCAACCCCCCUCGAUUGAGAGUGGCCCUUGAUAGGGUAAUCGUUAAUUAUUUAAUGGUCAUUAUGGAGAAAAGCCUACCUGUAACGCUAGCAGAACUGUAGCAUUAUAUAUGUACACUAGUCACGUAGUUAUGUAAGAACAUUGCCAUAUUAUGGGUAGAUCAGUGACAUAUUUUUGGUAAAACAGUACCAUAUUUUGGUAGCACAGUCUUGUAGUGUUGGAAGAAUAGUGGCAUAUUUUGGGAUGUAGAAGAAGACACAUUGUUCGGAAUUAUAAUAUUAUAUGUGGUGCUAGUAUUGACAUAUUCUGCUACAAGGAUUACACCAUGUGGUAGGUCCACUUCAAGGAAUACAACAAGGAUACUACUGUUACCCUAAACAAUAGGCAUAACAUCAAUGUACAAUAGCCAUAACAACGUUACACAUACUUUCUUAGGUUCAAACUGCCAACCAUUGUUCUUCAAAUGGAAAAUGUGACCUUCAUCGCCAUGGCACUCAAAUGGAAGGCCGUCUGGAUGCUCUGAUAUGAUAGUGCGAAUGACGUUCCCUGCUUCCUUGAAAUUGACUUUAGCCUUCCAAAAGGUAUCCUUCCACAUUUCAAUCCGACUGACCAAGUCAACGUGGCUGCUCCUUUUGUCUCCAGAGUGAAUGAUACCUUGGUCCACGAGGCUCCCCUAUCAAUGAUUUCCAUGCAUAAUACAAACACCCACUACUGUACUAGUAUCAACCAGAACUGAAAGUAUACAUAUCAUUUUUCAUAUUCAUGCAACCUUACUUUCCAAUCGUGACAUUCUAGUAAGUCUCUUGUAAAGCUCCCCAUACACAUAAACUAUGCUCUUAAAUAGGGCAUAAUUCAGAAACCAUUUAUAACGAAACCGUAAGAGUAACAUGGUACUAGCAUACCAUACACAUAUCCAUAACAUAACAUAGAUAUCUAACUAGGAGGGUUGGUCGAAGUUCCAGCUUCUAUGAGGAGGUCCACUACCCCUUCAAUUAAAAUAUGGGGAUGAAGUCGACUCCAUUGUGAGAGGACCAGGCGACAGAAGUACUUGAGCAUGUCCUUAAUCAUAACGUUCUCCUCAUCCCACCACUUCGUUUGGUCCGUUGUAAAACAACCAAUGUGUUGCCCCAUAAAACGAAGUGCCAUACAGGCCACACCUGUGAAUGUCAGGCUUUUGUGGCGCAGACACCACCCUCAACUUGAAGUCCUUGAUAUCCACGUGAGUGUUAAGAAGAACAAAUGACCUCGCAUAUUGCAUUAUCUGUGUUCUUGUCGGCUUGUUGUAUGGCUUGGUCUCAAAGUCCUUCUUAUAGAUAAGGCUAUUGAGAAUAACUCUUUCCUUUUUCUCCAUGUCCAACCCAAAGACAUAGAAGUGCUUGAAACUAUUUCCCCUUAUGUUGGGAAGAAGACCGAACACACAAAUAUAAUAUAGUAAUCACAUCAGAUUGUAUAUCAACUGCAUACCACAAAUACAAUACAUACAUAUUUCACGGAACUCAAGCCCUGGAGGUACUUCUUAUUUAAGAAAUCCUUGCAAGUUGGUGGGAAUUUAGAUUGAGUUAGUGAAAACUCAAUCUCAUUUUCAACUUUUGUCCUAGCAGGAGUUUGAAGCCAUAACACAGUCUAACUACACACAUAAAAAAUCACACUUACUAACAAGGAAUAGUCAGAUUAUACUCAUAACACAGUUAAAUUGGCAACAUAACAGAGGCAAAUUGUAUUCAUAACACACACAUAACAUAGAAAGACAGUUAAGUAACUUUGACGAUUCAAACAAUACUUGUAGUAAUUGAAAUAAGCCCAUAUAGUCUUUUUAUUGUGUUGUUGUUAGCCAGUAAAUUGUCAUUAUUGAACUGGUUGCAGAAUGCAUCAAUCAGUUUUGAUGUGCACCUGGUUUGAAUAAUAGACGGUCUCCAACUCAAGCUUCAUGACUUCCAUGCCUUUUUUUCCGGAAAGUCGCAUAUAAUGCAGCUGUUGAUAGGAAACAAUACUGCACUAGUUGUAGCCAUAACACAAAUGUAACACAAACGUAACAAAACGUAACACAAAUGUAACACAAAAAUAAAGGAUAUAUAACAUAGUGAGAAAUGAUAUGUACUCCCUUUCAACACUAGAUAUGGCAUAAGUUACUAUCUUGCUCUCAACUAGUGUUAAUUCAUGUUGAAGUCUAUUUGUGAGAACGAUCUUCAUGCUAGUCUUUUGUCGGUAAUAUGCAAUUGGAAUUGGAUUCUCUGAAUCACCUACCAAGUCCACUACAACUUGUCUCCACCCGGAGUUGCCUUUGUCGAUCCACCCACUAACUCCAAGAUGGCUUCUUUUGCGGUCAUUCUGUUGGUCCACUUCAACUUCCUUCUAUUUUCCUUGGCAACCUGCUCCUCUUCCUUUUCCUUUUCGGCUUCAUUAUCUUCAACCUUCUCUUCUUUCUUUUCUUCAUCCCUAUCAUCUGACUUCUCAUCUUACUUUUCGUCUGCAUUUGCAUCCUCCUCACAGUCACUACCAUCACAAUUUUCACCCUUGUUGUCAUCAUCAUCAUCAUCAUCAUAACCAUCGUCAUCUUCCUCCUCAUCUUCACCAUUGUCUUUAUCAUCAUCAUCACCAUCGUUAUUGUCCAUGAAAUCACCGUAGCUCUCGUCUUCAAACUCAUUACGAAACUCCACGUCAACAACUCCCUUGCCCUUCCCUAGUAAUAGGUUCUGGACAGACGCACUCCUAUCCAGUCACAACUAUAAUUAGCAAGGCAGUUGUCCUGCAUUGCACCUCGAUCGUCGCAACCUCUGCUAACAAUGUUUGCUGCAAUCAUGGUAUGAAGAUGCCUUCAGAUUAACCCAUAUACGAGAUAUAUAACACUUAGGUAAUUCAAAUAUACCACCAUCAGAACAGUACAAUAGUCGUGAAAAGCAGUUCACUGGCACAUAACAGAACAACAACAUAUCUUACGUUUAACGUCCAUAGAACAUUGUAAUAACACCCAUGGAUCAGUUACCUGUUAUGAAGAUGCAAGUUGUACUAUCGCCGUCUACUUGUCCAUUCUAGGGUUCGUUAAUCAUGUUCCCCUAUGCUGAUGCACAUUCACCCCAAAGGUAAGGAAAUCUAGCUCGAGACUUUGUCGAAAAUGUCUUGAGCCUAAGUGGGAGUAAUAGGUUUCAAGCCAGCUACAAGAGACGCCCUCUCACUCAACAUGAAUGACCAGCUGCCGUUAGGAGUACUUAUCCUUCUCAUCAUUUUGAUGACAACAUCGCAUCUUAGUAGGAACAAGUGGGAUGCUCUUUCGGAUCGAUACCAGAAAGAUCAACCAUGUCCAGAAAAUGCAGCUGACACAAACAACCGAGGAUAUCAAGAUUAGACAAUCAACCAACAGUAGUCUGCAUCAACAUAAGAACACUGUACAACUAUUAUAACACAACGAUAGCAUAAAUAUAAUAGCAAUAUAACUUAACAGUAACACUUACCACCAUGAAGUUCAUGUCCCUGCUGGGAUAGGACGCCUUCUGAUUCUUAUAGUAGUCCUCCAGACCUCUUAGCAGAUGAUUUGAGACGUCAGCCGCCCAAUUAGGAUUAGCAAUCUCAAAGUUGUGAAGGUGAAGAUACUUGGAAAACUUCAUUAUAACCCACCGGGUAUUUGUUGGAACAAGCAACGACUCAAGGGCAAGCAACAUGUACAACUUUGUAUAAGCCGUGGGAUCUUUACAAUUCUUCAUUGCAGCUUGGAGUUGAACUAUGUUGAUGUGAUUGUACUUAUUGCUCUUUGUACCGGUCACCCUUUCAAACUGCUUCAAUACCCUUAGCCCGAAAUGUUGGACAUCCACGUCGGCUAGACUUGUAUACAAGGGCAGACCAUAUACAUGGUGCACGACCUCUGACGUUACGCCCAACAGCUGACCAUCCGGGAACUUGAAAAGACCAAGUUCAGGAACAAAGGAUUGGAGGAGGAAUUGAGGAACCUCCUUAUUAAUCAUCUCUAGUUGUAGAUACAACAACCCAUAGAAGCCAGCGUCAUUGAGACAUAGACAGAUGUUAGUACGAUGCGGGUGGUCGUUUUCAAGUAGAUCAUUGGCAGCCACCAACUGUCCAAUUUUGCAACAGAAUGGCUUGCCAUUUCCCUUCUUUUUCUUCAAGCCAAUCUCCCCUAGGGGGCCCUUCUUUACAAUUGGUUGCUUUGUGGCAACUGCCUUUUCGUUAGCACAACCCUUCUUUGUCGGAUUAGUUUUGGCCACCAGACAAUCAAAUAACAUACUCAUAUUCAUAAUGUACCAAUGUCAUUAUGAUUCUCAUAACAACAAGACCAAACAAAGAUCGACAAUCAUACACAGGUACGUGAUCAUAUCAUAGUAAUAUCAUAUACGUAACAUAGGCAUUACGUAAUACUAAGAAAUACAAAUAGAUACACAAUCAUAUCAUAGACAUAAGAUAGGAAUAACAUAGGCAUCUAAUAUGCAUAACAACCAUAAACAGAAAGAUAAAUUGUAUUACACACAUAACAUAGGAACUUCAUACUAGUAAGUAGCAUAAACAAAAUAACAAUCAUAUCAUAGACAUAACGUAUGCACUUCAAAAUUGUAACAAACAUAGGCGGUCCUCAAAUCUCCCUUUUCUUGGGGGUUAACAGACACUAAUGGUGUUUUGUAGUUAGAGUCAGACUCCAAGCUCUAAAAGGAGGACGAUUCUUUCCGUUUCUGUUUCCACUUUUUGUUGCAUGAACCUUUCUGUACCCCACGUUGAGAUUACUGUAGCUCUGUGAGCCAUUUUAAAGAUUGAUGAGGGGAGAUGAGAACUCCUUUGUUAGUCUUCUCUAUAGGAAACUACGAGAAAGGAGGAAAACUUAUUAGAGCCUUAUAAAAUACCCUAAAAACCAAUCAUAUAUAUACGAAGCCUUAAGGAAGGUACAACAUAAAAAAAAAGUUAUCAGGUUUGGUGGUUCUAACCGUCAAUGUAUAGGUGGAUGAGGAUGAAUGUAACUGCUUUGGUGGAUGAGGACGAAGGUAACUACAACUUCACCAAGAGAGAGGCCUACAAACCUGAAGCCACCUUCAAAACUUCCACCCAGUACUUUGGAUCUACUGGCGGAUGAAUUUGAUUCCUCCAUGCAACGGCUUCACCGUCGCCGGUGAGAGGAGAGAGAUUAACAGGAAGAGGGAGACACUGAUGUUGAAGAAAGAGAUGGAGAGAAUGAAGAAAGAGAUGGAAAAGAGGGAGAGAAUGAAGAAAGUGAUGUGAAAGAGGGGUGACAGAAUAGUGAUAUGACCGGUCUGACACAAGGAUUGAAAAAAAUCGCAAAACAUUUUCAAUUUCCCAUUCUCGAUAAUGAAAUUCGAAUCUACGGAUGAAAAAAAGAAUUGAAUAUUAAAUAUAAAUAAAUAAAUUCUCGUUCCCAACCCCUAGAAGAAAGAUAGCCGUCUGAUCGAAGUCAACGAGGAGACGGAUUCCCAGUCGUCAGAUCAAGCUGUCUAGCCGUACAACUUGACUUUCCAUGCCAAUCAUUAACAUUUUUGCCCAACCGAGGCACCCUGUUUGUCUCCAGUUUGAUGAGUUCUUGCCGGUGAACCAAUCAACAAUGAAGAAGCUCCGAUGGAGGGCCCAUAAACUCACUAACAACUAGGUAAGGAUCAUGAAUGUUUUCAUAAGCUUAAUUUAAUAUUUUCUUAAGCUUAACCAGAUCUAUACAACCCUCCAUUGCCAGAUUCAAGUUUCGCCAGAGCCGCCGCCGUCUCUAUUUCUCAAUUUAAUCUCCUUUAUUUUGAAACCAGGUGAGGAGAGUUUCCCCUAAGUUAAUUUGGGGCUUCACAAUGGUUUGAAGUGGGAUUGAUCUCACCUGAGUUGACCUCCAGAACCCGAAUUUUGGAAUAUGGGUUUCGGCUCAUCGGGGAAGACGACUGGAAAACAUGUCAUGACGGUGCCUGAAGUUCCAGUGAUUUCAAUUCAGUCAUUGGACUUCUUGAGGCCAGAUCCGGUCACCUAAAUUUCCUAGAUGGCAAGCGUAAAACAAUACUUUAAAAUGUUAACAAAUUGCUUAAUAACGAGACCUAUAUAUCUGUUGUGACUCUAAACUUUAGGAUUAUGACAUUUGACCCAAAUACAUAAAAGAUAUUUAAGUGUUGAGGGUUAACCCUAAUUGAUCUUGAUAUGCUAUUCAAGGACAUUAAGGAUAAAUACAGGAUUUCUGAACUCGUAAAAGGAUUAAGGAAAAUGGAUUCUUUCGUUAUAAGGGAUCAUUAGUAAAAAGUAAUCAUGAUUUUGGAAAAGCCUAGUUUUUCCUUAUCACUUUAACAAUGGAGAUAAACUACAGAUACUUUGAGUCAUCACUCAGAUCUUUUUAUUUCAAAUCAACUCUGAGCCUAAUACCUAAAUUCCCGUAAUCAGGUUCUCAGAGUCGAAACCACUUUCAAGCGUGGAUCUCGACCUUUUUUUUGGGACCCUCACCACUUCACUUUUCUAGGCAAGUGGUUUAAGGGGGUAAAUUCUUACGUUGCUGUGUUUAGGAAUGAACCUAGAAUUAAAUGAUUACUUGAUCUAUUUGUUACUAUGUGUUUUGUAGUGAGUUAUGAUUGGUCCUAUACUCAUGUUGAUGUUAUGUAUCAUGCUUGCGUGUUACUUCCUGAUUAGUUAUGUUACUAGUAAAUCCUCAUCGUUGCUAAAUUCAUGUUGAUGCCAUGUGUCAUGUUUCCAUGUUUUUUCCUUGAUAUGUUAUGUUUACUUUUAAAUUCUUAUCCUUACCAUAUUCAUGUUGUUACCAUGUGAUAUGUCUUGGUUAUUAUCAUGUUAUGUUAUAAAUCACCUAAACAACAAGUAAGCCUAUGAUAGGCAAUAUAAUAACACGUAUCUCGCUAACUAGACCGCCACCCUCUUAUGUUACCUUCAUGUUUCACGUUUGGGCGGAUGGUAGGAAUCAUGUUUAUGGUUCGAUGAAUACGUACUCCCGGACUCUCACGUUUACAUUUUGGUGGUUUGCUAGUUAAUCAGGAGGCCCCUAGAUGUCAUGUCAAGUAAGCAAGCCAAGUAAAUAAUGUCAAGUAAACCAUGUUAAGUAAAUCAUGAUAAGUGAAUCAUGUCAAGUCUAAUCAUAUGUAAUCCCUAAUAACAUUAUUGUUUGGAUUGCUAACCUAAUGUGAAUGUGUACUCAAGAACUAAAAGCUUAUGUAAAACACUAAUAGUUAAGCACGCAAGACUGACCCCAAACCACUCACCAGGUCAUACUAGAGAUACCGGCAUAGAGACUACCUAAAAGAACUUUAGUGGAUGUUGAGGAUGUCACAUGAGUUAGAGUGAGUGAUUUUGGAGGAUGGACUACCAUGUUUACUCUCUUUCGAGUUUCUAGUACUUGAGACUUGGGUUUUGUUUUUUAUUUUUUCAUACUUGAUUUCAGAUGUUCGGGUUGCUCACUUGUAAGAGCCGAUUUACUUUGGAUUUAUGUGUAGUUUUCAAAAAAGUCUAUACCUUUCUCUUUUGACUAUCUUGAGUCUUGUGAUCUCUCCAAGGAAAUUUGGUAUUUAAAUAAAUGAAAAGGAUUUGUGAAAAUUUGGGUCGUGUCACAUACCACUUCCCCUUGCAACUCCUUUGAUGCCAAUAAACCUAAAAUACUCACAAAAUCACCCAAAAACCAACAUUAAAUGUCCCCAAACGGGCCAAGUGGAUAAAAACACAUAUUUGAGUUAAAGUUCCUAAGAACUACCCAGAAUAGCAUGAUAUGCACGAAAUUUGGCUUAAAAUACGAUAGAUGAAUGCAAUAAAUCAAACACUACAACUAACCCCACACUUAAGCUUUGCUUGUCCUCAAGCAAAAAACUGAUAAAAGCUAUGAUAAACAUCCACAAUUGAAUGACGUUACUAGCAAGGCAAAGCAAACCCAUAUUCCACAAAGUACCCCUAUAUUUCAACACAUGCAAGUAAACCCUUAAAAUCAACCAAUCUAGGAAGUAAGGGUCUCAUCAAAAGUUGUCCAACUUUUCAUACAUCAUCCGCCAUGGUAUACCACCCAUCUAGACUUUCUCUCAAAUGGCACAAUUUAAAAAUGAAGUCAAGAUCAUCUCACUCAAAGUGUUUAGGGAUAGUGUUUGUGAGCUCAUUCCUCAACUCUGACGCAAACUUCAACACUCGCACAUCAACCUACUUUUUAAUCAUUACAUCAUAGAACUUCAAACACUAUUCUAGAGGUCUUUUAUUAAGGAUUGUAAUCUGAAAAAAAGAAUAAGAGGAGAAAUGAAUUUGGUGGUAGGUGUACAUAUUGGCCGACGAUUCAGUCCACUCUAAACAUGGAGCUAAAGCUACUUAAAACAAACAACCACGAUGCAAGGAUUCAAUUUCCAUCAAGAGCUUAAUACUAGCUCCUCUAUCCCUUAAAUAAGCUACUACUCCUUCGAGCUUUUCCAUCAAGAGCUUUAUACUAGCUCCCCUAUCUCUGAAAUAAGCUACUACUACUUCAAGCUUUUCCAUCAACACUUGGCCUCAUGUGCAACAAAAUCCAGAAACUGGGUGAGGAACACGAUUUAGACAACAAAUGUAGCAUCCUCUGAUAAUGCAGAUAAUAUUUCCUUAAGACCUCAUGUUAAGGCAUUAGAAAAGAAGCUAAAUGAUUUUACUUUGAAAGUUUCUAACCCCCUGCUACUUAUGUUUAUACUUGUGCUUGGGGUGAUGUUCCUUACAGCCAGGUAGAAUGUGAUAUUUUCCUCACCAACAAAUUCAUGAUGAUGGAAGAAGUGGAUUUUGUGCGACAGGGCUACCCCUUCAAUCAGCAGGGAUAUCAGGAAUUCAGAGCAAAGAACGCCGAAGGCCGACGAUUCAACUUCACAUACCCUGGAAGGCGUUGUGACUUCUACAAGUGUAGGAUGGAGGAUUACAAUGUCAAAGACAACAUCACUCCCCAAAGACAAAACUCACACCAUUAAGGAAACUCGAGCAACAACUACCAAGGUCCACCAGGAUUUCCAAUCAAGCCAACUAAGCAGCAACAACAACAUAAUUCGGACCCUGCUGGAGGAAUAAAUGAAGACAUCAUCCAGAUGAUGAAAACCAUGCAUGUCUUAAUUAUAGCUCAAAAGCCUGCCAACACAAACUUUAUCCUCACUCCAGAGGAAAUCAAGAAGCAUGUUCGAUUCUAUAUCCAUUGGUAGUCAAGAAGAAGGGGCUUUGAAAGGCAUUUUAGAGAUUUAUAGAGAUCAUCAAGAAGAAGGAGGUUACAUUAACCUUUCUGGAAGCUUUCAUAAAGAUUCUAGCAUAUGCAAAGUUCUUGGUGAUGCUAAACAAGAAGAUAAAUCUUAGUGAUGCCACAGAGGUCUCACUCUAUGAAGAAGGAGCAAUAAUCCAAGUUGGAUCGACAAAGCAAAAAGACCUAGGGAGCUUUACUUUACCAUGCAUGAUUAAGAAUGUUAAAGUCUAGGGAGCUUUAUUUUACCAUGCAUGAUUAAGAAUGUUAAAGUUAGUUAGAGUCUUGCUGAGCUAGGUGCUAGUAUAAAUGUUAUGCCCCAAAGCUUAUAUGAGAAACUAGAUAUAUGUGAACUUAGACAAACUAAGAUAGUUCUUCAACUUGCUGAUAGGUCUUUGGUAAAACCCAGGGUAGUCGUAGAUGAUAUUUCAAUUUGUGUAGGACCUUUUGAAUUUUCUGCUAAUUUUGUUGUUCUAGAUACCCAUGAGAAUGACAGUCAUUGGCUUAGUCCUACGAAGGUUGUACCUAAGAAGGUGGGUUUCAGGACCAUUUUUGUUUGAUGAUAACUAUAUACAUGCAUUUAAUUUUCUAAAAAUGAAGUUGACCACUGCGUCGAGAUUAGUCUCCCCGGAUUGGGAGGCACCUUUGUAACUAAUUUGUGAUGCUAGUGAUUUUGCAGUGGGUGUAGUGCUAGGACAGUGGAGAGAGAAGAGAUUACAUCCCAUAUACAUCAUGAGCAAGAUGCUUAAUGAUGCACGGAAAAACUACACAACUACUAAGAAUGAGCUCUUGUCGAUUGUCUUUGCAUUCAAGAUGUUCAGGUCCUAUUUAAUGUUUAUCCCAGACUAUGGUUUUCACUGACCAUUCUGCUCUUAACUAUCUUCUAGCUAAACAAGAUGCGAAGCCGAUAUUUAUUCGUUGGGUGUUGCUCCUUCAAGAAUUUGACAACACUAUUAAGGACAAUGCGGGGUUAGAGAACAUUGCAGCUGCCCACCUAUCGCGCGUUGAACGGCCUCCUCCUGUUCAAUUAGCUCAAGGAGAGAUAAAUUAGCUCUUCCCGGAUGAUCCACUACUCCUCUUGGUAGAAGCAGAGAAAGUCUUGGAUCAUCAUCCUCAACAAACGCCCAUGGUUUUCGUACAUAGCCAACUUCCUCGCUUUCGCGGCAUUUCUAGAAGAUUAAAAAAUCAUCAGCAGCAAAGGAAACAGGUCUCCGAAGCCAAGCACUACAUCUGGGAUGAUCCUUACCUCUACCAUUCGGGCUCAGACGGAGUAAUCAAACGAUGUGUUAUGUUGCAUGAAUCACUCCACAUCAUGCUCCCUUGCCACACUAGACCUGUUGGGGGACAUCAUAGUGGAAAUCGCACAGCUCACAAGAUUUUAGAUGCGGGUUCCUACUGGAGGACGAUCUCGAAGGAUUGUGGCAGAUACGUGAAGAAAUGUGAUGCCUGUCAACAUACAUGUAACAUUUCAAAUAAGAAUGAAAUUCCUAUUACCAUCUCCAUGCUUGUAGAAGUUUCUAUUGUGCGGGGUAUUAGUUUUAUGGCCAUUUCCCAUAGUCCCAUGGUAACAAGUAUAUCCUUGUUAUUUUGGAUCAUGUGUCAAAGUGGGCAGAGGCAUAAGUGCUGCCUACUAACGAUGCUUGGAUAGUGGGAAAGUGUAUCACACGGCUUUUCAUGCAUUUUGGUGCCCCUCAUGUUAUUGUUAGUGGUAGGGGCACUCACUUCUAGAGUCAAUUCGAUCUUGUGUUCCAAAAAUUUGGUGUAACUCAUCGAUUAACCACUGCUUAUCAUUCACAUACAAGCGGUCAAGCGGAGGUGACGAAUCGUGAGCUGAAGCGGAAUCUUGAUUGACAGUCGAUCAGUCUCACAAGGACUGGUCAAUUCGGCUCGAUGAAGCUCUAUGGGCUUAUCGAACUGCCUUCAAGACUCCUAUCAGUACUUUGUUGUAUUAACUAGUUUAUGGCAAGCCUUGUCAUUACCGAUCGAGCUUGAGCAUAAGGCAUGGUGGGCCAUGAAGCUAUUAAACAUGGAUGAUAGUUUGUAGCUUCAAAACACAAAGAUCAGCUCCUUGAGCUAGAGGAGUACAAGUUUCAUGCUUAUGAGAGCUCAUGGCUAUACAAGAAGAGGAUGAAACGCAUCCAUGAUGCCAAGCUUCAAGGUGUCAAGGACUUUGAGAAGGGAGAUAAAGUGUUUCUUGACAACUCCCGCCUCCGACUGUUUUUGGGAAAAUUACAAUCAAGAUGGUCGGGACUAUAUGAAGUCACACAAUCAUUUCCCUACGAUACCGGGAAGAUCACACAUUCGUGCCAAGGAACAUUCAAGGUCGACAGUCACCAUCACAAGUGAUAUCACAGUUCCAAGCCUACUAAUUGAGUCAAAGUUCAUUACUUCACUGAUGGUAAAUAAAAGGCGAGGUAUCGUCUAGCUCAAAGAGGUUAAAAAAGAGCGGUUCAUGGGAGGCAGCUCAUGCUUGGAGUCUAUAUUUUGCAUUUUAUUUUGAGUCAAAUUGCAUGUUUAGGUGUUAGAUCGAGUCUAGAACAUGAUACUUGAGUCCCAUUCCUAUCCCAAGUCAUCGAUGAGAAGCGUUUUGAAUUUUGUGUGAAGGGUGGAAGGUCACAGAACAAUAUGUCAACCUUAGCGCUAUAGAUCUGGGUCAAACAUGAGCACCAGAGUUGCACUACCCCGCCCACCGCCACCACAUGGAUAUCAGCGACCGCCAAUAGAGUUUGCUGGCAUGGUGAGGUCAGUAUAGUAGUGGCAGAUCAAUUUUGGGGAGGGUAGUCUUCCAUGGCAGCAGUAGUAGACAGCCUGACAGACGUCAUUUGAUUUGGGACAGUGACCUUCAUAGAUCGAGCAGAGGAGAGUUGAGUAGGAACACCAUGAUCGAGCCCACCACACUCGCCUUCACUAGAUGACUACUGAUCCAGUAUCAUCAUUCUAGUUUCUCAUUAUGUGUUUGAGUGUUUUUCAGAAGUUAGUGUCGCCACGAAGGUUGAACUUCAUGAGUCAUGUAUGAGCCUCUUGGAUUUCAGACAACAUCCAUGUUUUCCUGUGUAACUUUUCGCUUCAUUUAGUGAGGACACUUUCCGAACUAAGUUUGAGGUGGGUUUGCAUAGGAUUUGUGUAUGCUAGUCUUGUUGGGUAGUUGUUUUACAUGUGCAUCCUAAACUCAAGCUUGUUGGAACUAUCUUUGAAUCAAUUACUUGGCAUGCUUAGAAAAAUUCCUUGUGAUUUGUGCACUUGAAUUGCUGAAUUACUUGUGAACCUAGAUUUGAU